rnacentral:lncRNA from 1 species
UUUUUAUUUUUUUAUUUUUAAAGUCCGAAGUCUCAUCCCGACUUGUGGGGGAAUCAUAGUCUUCAUGAUCCUUUCCUCACUGAGAUAAUGCUCUAAUAAUGAAGAUCAUCACACUUUUAUUGAUUUACAACUCAAGAAUUACAACUCAAAGCUAGAACAAGAUAUGACUCUAUAUGAAUGCCUCCGGUGGUGUACCGGGAUAUGCAAUGAAUCAAGAGCGACAUGUAUGAAAAUUAUGAUGGUGGCCUUGCCACAAAUACGAUGUCAACUACAUGAUCAUGCAAAGAGCAAUAUGACAAUGAUGGGAUGUGUCAUAAUAAACGGAAUGGUGGAAAGUUGCAUGGAAAUAUAUCUCAGAAUGGCUAUGGAAAUGCCAUAAUAGGUAGGUAUGGUGGCUGUUUUGAGGAAGGUAAAUAAUGGUUGCAUGAUACAUGCGAAAGUUGUGCGGUAUAAUAGAGACUAGCAAAGUGGAAGGAUGAGUGUGCGUAUAUCCGUGGACUCACAUUAGUCAUAAAGAACUCAUAUACUUAUUGCAAAAGUCUACUUGCGCUCGAAGCAAAGUACUACUACGCAUGCUCCUAGGGGAAGGGUUGGUAGGAGUUAAACAUCGCGCGAUCCCGACCUCCACUCAUAAGGAAGGCAAUUAAAAGAGCACCUCAUGCAACAAAUUUGUCACACAACUUUUACCAUACGUGCAUGCUAUGGGACUUGCCAACUUCAAGACAAGUAUUUCUCAAUUUCAUAAUUACCCACUAUCAUGACCCUAACAUUACUACCUUUAUAUCUCAAAACAAUUAUCAAGCAUCAAAUUGAUCAUAGCAUAUAAUUCACUUCCUAUGAUAGUUUUUAUUAUACCCAACUUGGAUGCUCAUCAUUCUAGGACCAAAUUUGUAACCAUAGCAAAUACCAUGCUGUUCUAAAAGACUCUCAAAAUAAUAUAAGUGAAGCAUGAGAUGCUAGCAAUUUCUUCAAAAUUAAGCCACCGCCGUGCUCUAGAAGAUAUAAGUGAAGCACUAGAGCAAAAACUAUCAAGCUCAAAAAAUAUAAGUGAAGCACAUAGAGUAUCCUAGCAAAUUCUAAUCAAGUGGGCUUCUCACAAAAGGUGUGUACAGCAAGGAUGAUUGUGGUAACCUAAAAAGCAAAGACUAAUAUAAUACACAAUGCUCCAAGCAAAACACAUAUCAUGAGGCGAAUAAAAAUAUAGCUCCAAGUAAAGUUACCAAUGAACGAAGACAAAAGAGGGGAUGCCUUCUCGGGGCAUCCCCAAGCUUAGGCUCUUGGAUAUCCUUGAAUAUCUUGGGGUGCCAUGGGCAUCCCAACGCUUAGUCUCUUGCCACUCCUUAUUCCAUAGUCCAUCAAAGCUUUACCCAAAACUUGAAAACUUCACAACACAAAACUCAACAGGAAAUCUUAUAAGCUCCGCUAGUGAAAGAAAACAAAACCACCACAUAAGGUACUGUAAUGAACUCAUUCUUUAUUUAUUUUGGUUUUAAACCUACUGUAUUCCAAAUUCUCUAUGGUUUAUAAACUAUUUUACUAGCCAUAGAUGCAUCAAAAUAAGCAAACAACACACGAAAAACAGAAUCUGUCAAAAACAGAACAGUCUGUAGGAAUCUGUAACUAACGCAAACUUCUGGAACUCUAAAACUCCUACCAAAAUAGGAAGUCCUGUACAAUUUGUCUGUUGGUCAGCAUCAAAAAGAAUCAACGCAAAACCACGUUUCUGUGAUGUAACAAAACUAAUUUCGUGCAUGCAAAGUUUCUGUUUUUCGGCAGAAUCAAAUCAACUAUCAUCAUAGGUUAUCCUAUAGGUUCUACUUGGCACAAACACCAAUUAAAAGAUAAAAACACAUCUAAACAGAAGGUAGAUGCAAAAUUUAUUACUAAACAGGAACAAAAACAAAAAACACAAAUAAAAUUGGGUUGCCUCCCAACUAGCGCUAUCGUUUAACGCCCCUAGCUAGGCAUAAAAGCGAAGAUAGAUCUAAGUAGUGCCAUCUUUGGCACUCAAUUCAUAAAUAGCUCGCAUGAUAGAUUCAUAAGGUAAUUUGACUUUCUUUCUUGGAAAGUGCUCCAUGCCUUUCCUUAAUGGAAAUUGUAAUCUAAUAUUCCCUUCCUUCAUAUCAAUAAUCGCACCAAUCGUUCUAAGGAAAGGUCUACCAAGAAUAAUAGGGCAAGAAAGAUUGCAAUCUAUAUCAAGAACGAUGAAAUCUACGGGCUCCAAAUUUCUAUUUACAACAAUGAGAACAUUCAUUGAUUCUUCCCAUUGGCUUUUUAAUGGUGGAAUCUGGAAGGUGCAAAUUUAAAGAGCAAUCAUCAAGAUUAUGGAAACCUAGAAUAUCACAUAAAGUUUUCGGAAUCGUGGAAACACUAGCACCCAAAUCACACAAAGCAAAAAACUCAUGAUCUUUAAUUCUAAUCUUUAUAGUAGGUUCCCACUCAUCAUUAAGUUUUCUAGGUAUAGAAACUUCCAAAUUAAGUUUUUCAUCAUAAGAUUGCAUCAAGGCAUCAACGAUAUGUUUGGUAAAAGCUUUAUUUUGACUAUAAGCAUGAGGAGAAUUAACAACAGAUUGCAACAAGGAAAUACAACCUUCUAAAGAACAAUUAUCAUAAUCAAAUUCCUUGAAAUCCGAGAUAGUGGGUUCAAUGCUAUUUGAAGUCAUGACCUCUCCAAUCCCACUUUUACCAAUUUUAGCAUCAAGAUCUAAAAACUCCGAAUUAUUGGGACGCCUUCUAACUGAAGUUGACUCAUCUCCAGUCCCAUUAUUAUCAAGAUUCAUAUUGCACAACAAAGAUCUAAUAGGAGACACAUCAAUAACUUUAAGAUCUUCAUCAUUAUUUUCAUUGAAACUAGAAGAACACGCCUUUACAAAGCAAUCUUUCUUAGCACGCAAUCUAGCAGUUCUUUCCUUGCACUCAUUAAUGGAAAUUCUCAUUGCUUUGAGAGACUCAUUGAUAUCAUGCUUAGGAGGAGAGGAUAUAAGUUUAAGAGAAUCAACAUCAAGCGAAAGUCUAUCAACGUUCCUAGCCAAAUCAUCAACUUUGAGCAAUUUUUCUUCAAGCAAAGCAUUAAAAUUCUUUUGAGAAAUCAUAAAUUCUUUCACACUAUUCUCAAAAUAAGUGGGCAUCUUAUUAAAAUUAUCAUAAGAAUUAUUGUAGGAAUUUCCAUAAUUAUUAGAGGAAUUACUAGGGAACGGUCUAGAAUUAAAGUUUCCUCUAUAAGCAUUGUUUCCAAAACUAUUCCUACCAACAAAAUUCACAUCCAUAGAUUCAUUAUUAUUCUCAAUCCAAGUAGACAAAGGCAUAUCAUUGGGAUCAAGAGGAGUAUUUUUAGUAGCAAACAAUUUCAUAAGUUCAUCCAUCUUUCCACUCAAAACAUUGAUUUCUUCUAUAGCAUGCACUUUUUUACUAGAAGAUCUUUCGGUGUGCCAUUGAGAAUAAUUAGCCAUAAUAUUAUCAAGAAGUUUUGUAGCAUCUCCUAACGUGAUUUCCAUAAACGUGCCUCCCGGCCGAAUCUAAAAGAUUUCUAGAAGCAAAGUUCAAACUGGCAUAAAAUUUUUGUAUGAUCAUCCAUAAAUUCAAACCAUGAGUAGGGCAAUUGCGAAUCAUCAAUUUCAUUCUUUCCCAAGAUUGGGCAACAUGCUCAUGAUCAAGUUGUUUAAAAUUCAUAAUAUCGUUCCUAAGAGUGAUAGUCUUAGCGGGAGGAAAAUACUUAGAGAUAAAAGCAUCUUUGCACUUGUUCCAAGAAUCAAUACUAUUUUUAGGCAAAGACGAAAACCAAACUUUAGCACGAUCUCUAAGUGAAAACAGAAAUAACUUCAAUUUAACAAUAUCAUUAUCCGUAUCUUUCUUCUUUUGCAUAUCACACAAAUCAACAAAGUUGUUUAGAUGAGUAGCGGCAUCUUCACUAGGAAGGCCGGCGAAUUGAUCUUUCAUAACAAGAUUCAGCAACGCAGUAUUGAUUUCACAAGACUCAACAUCAUUAAGAGGAGCAAUCGGAGUACUAAGGAAAUCAUUAUUAUUGGUAUUGGAGAAAUCACACAAUUUGGUAUUAUCUUGCGCCAUGGCGACAAGUAAUCCAACACACGAGCAAACAGAAAAAGGCAAACGAAAAAGAGAGGAGAAGAUUGGGAAAGUGAGGGCAAAUAAAACAGCAAGGGUGAAGUGGGGGAGAGGAAAACGAGAGGCAAAUGGCAAAUAAUGUAAAUGCGAGGGAGAUGGGUUUGUGAUGGGUACUUGGUAUGUCUUGACUUGAGCAAAGACCUCCCCGGCAACGGCGCCAAAAAUACUUCUUGCUACGUCUUGAGCUUGCGUUGGUUUUCCUUGAAGAGGAAAGGCUGAUGCAGCAAUAGUAGCGUAAGUAUUUCCCUCAAUUUUUGAGAACCAAGGUAUCAAUCCAGUAGGAGGCUCCUCAAAAGUCCCACGCACCUACACAAACAAACAAAGAACUCGCAACCAACACAAUAAAGGGGUUGUCAAUCCCUUCACGGCCACUUGCGAAAGUGAGAUCUGAUAGAGAUAGUAUAAUAAGAUAAAUAUAUUUUUGGUAUUUUAUAAUAUAGAUGCAAAAAGUAAAGAUGCAAAUAAAAGUAGAUUGAAAGCUUAUAUGAUAAAAGAUAGACCCGGGGGCCAUAGGUUUCACUAGAGGCUUCUCUCAAGAUAGCAUAAGUAUUACGGUGGGUGAACAAAUUACUGUCGAGCAAUUGAUAGAAAAGAGAAUAAUUAUGAGAUUAUCUAGGCAUGAUCAUGUAUAUAGGCAUCACGUCCGCGACAAGUAGACCAACUCCUGCCUGCAUCUACUAAUAUUACUCCACACACCGACCGACUCCUGCUUGCAUCUAGAGUAUUAAGUUCAUAAAGAACAGAGUAACGCAUUAAGAAAGAUGACAUGAUGUAGAGGGAUAAACUCAAGCAAUAUGAUAUAAACCCCAUCUUUUUAUCCUCGAUGGCAACAAUACAAUAUGUGCCUUGCUGCCCCUGUUGUCACUGGGUAAGGACACCGCAAGAUUGAACCCAAAGCUAAGCACUUCUCCCAUGGCAAGAAAGAUCAAUCUAGUAGGCCAAACUAAACUGAUAAUUCGAAGAGACUUGCGAAGAUAACUCAAUCAUACAUAAAAGAAUUCAGAGGAGAUUCAAAUAUUUCUCAUAGAUAAACUUGAUCAUAAACCCACAAUUCAUUGGAUCUCGACAAACACACCGCAAAAAGAGUUUACAUCAAAUAGAUCUCCACAAGACAGGGGGAGAACAUUGUAUUGAGAUCCAAAAAGAGAGAAGAAGACAUCUAGCUAAUAACUAUGGACCCAAAGGUCUGUGGUAAACUACUCACAACUCAUCGGAGGGGCUAUGAUGUUGAUGUAGAAGCCCUCCAUGGUCGAUUCCCCCUUCGGCGGAGCGCCGGCGAAGGCUCCAAGAUGGGAUCUCGCGGAUACAGAAGGUUACGGUGGUGGAAAUUGUGUUUCGUUGGCUCCCUGGAUGUUUUCGGGGUACGUAGGUAUAUAUAGGAGGAAGAAGUACGUUGGUGGCCACCUAUGGGGCCCAGGAGAUAGGGGGGCGCCCAGAUGGGGUGGUCGCGCCCUCCUGUCUCCUGGCUGCCUCGCAAGCUUCUUGACUUGCACUCCAAGCUCUCAGGAUCACGCUCGUUCCAAAAAUCAUGCUCCUGAAGGUUUCAUCCGUUUGGACUCCGUUUGAUAUUCCUUUUCUUCGAAAUACUGAAAUAGGCAAAAAAACAGCUAUACGGGCUGGGCCUCCGGUUAGUAGGUUAGUCCCAAAAAAUGAUAUAAAUGUGUAAAAUAAAGCCCAUAAACAUCCAAAAGGGGUAAUAUAAUAGCAUGGAACAAUUAAAGAAUUAUAGAUACGUUGGAGACGUAUCACGCACCGAGAUUGCAGAAUCGCAGGCGGUUGCUGCAACUCAGUGUGACCGAAAUGUUCAAAUCGGUUGCACCGAGAUGACAACCUAGAUCAACUUAGUGAACUCGGUUUGACCGAAAUGGAUGACUCGGUUAGACCAAAAUGCACAAAGAGGUUUUGGAAGUUUAAGCCUAUGACGAAUCGGGGACUCCGAAUGCUCCUCACACAGAGUGGUUCGAAUCUGACUUGAUCAAACUUUGUGAUGUAGCAUGAAUAGAGUUUGAGACGAGAAAAUCAUAGAUAGCUAGAGGAGGUUCUUAGGCAUUCUUGUCCAUCCACUUGGCAAAAGAGAAAGAGCCAAACAAUCAAAACAACAAGUGGCUAUCCUCGAAUGAGAAAAAUAUGCAACCAACAUGCUCACACAAUAAAAUGGUGAAUGAAAUAUGUGGCAAAGCAUGAACAAACAUUCUAGCAUCUAUGAAGCAGUUUGCGAUGACUAGGUCAUCUAUAUAUGAGUAUAUUGACUUAGGAGUCAAAGGAUAACAUUUGAUCAUAGGUCAUGCUCAUCGUUUAAGCACAAGUGGGGUUACCACUUUUACAUAAAGCAUUGUUGUGUUCACACCAUUAGAGUUGCUUUAGCUCAUGUCUUAGAGUAAAGCUCUCCCUAGAUGUGAUAUCCCCCCUAAGAGGGAUGAACUAACCUUGGGUUUUGUCGAUGAUGACUUCAUGUAGGUGUUGAAGAUGUGGAUGCUCAAUGUUGAUGUAGAUCAUUUGGAGCUAUCCAUUGGAGUGAGUUGCACUUUCAGUACCUACACGGGUUAGUCCCACAAGGAACAAACAAGGAUAUCCAUAGACAUAGAGUGAUGUACACACAAGAUGAUGUCCACGAAAGCAUUAGGUUACCUUGUCCCUUGUCUUACCAACAAGAGGGUUUGUGACUCCUUGAACUAGUGCAAGAUGUGAAAGUUGAUUGCACUUGUCCUUGCCAAAAUGAUAUGAGUGAAAUAUGUUGGCGGAGUCACCCUCAAGAACUCUCUAGUUCUUCAUCUUCGGGAUCCACAUCAUCUUGAUGGGAAUCCUUGGGGUUGUAGUCAUACUUGAUGAAGUAGAACUUGAUGUAGUCUUGGGAACCCACUUGACCAAGACCUUGGGAGCUUCUUCAAAUGCAUCAAUCUCCUCUUGAAGAUUAUCCUUGCCUUUUUGCUUGUGGUCUUGUGGUGGAAUAUCAUCUUGAGCUUGUGUCCCUUGGAAAGAAGUAGGAUCAUACUUCUCUUGUUGAGGAACAAACUUCGUCUUGGGGUAUUGAUCUUCUUCCCAUUCAACUUCAUUGGCAUUGAACUUUUGUUCAAAACCAACACCUUGAUUCUUCCGGUGGCUUCCUUGCUUCCGUACAAUUUUCUCAAAUUGCUUGCUUACGGCAAGGCUCUUGUAAACACCUUUCUCUAUAAUUCCCUUCAAUAAGCUAUUUUCUUGCUGAAGAGUAACUUGUCUAAGAGAAUCAUUAGUGGAAUCAAGAGAACUACUAGAAGCAACAACAUUGGAUUUAGCAUGAUUAUUGUUACUACUAGAAGAAGAAUAUUUCUUACUUUUGUUGCUAGAUUUAACUUGUGGCAUGUAAGUAGACAAGAGUAAAUUCUUGGCAAUGUAAGAAGAACUUUUCUUGCGAAGAUCAUCAUUGAUUGCCUUUAAAAAGUCAUGCUCUUGCUCAAGGUUGAGCUUUUCAAAGCGUAACUUCUCAUGAGUCUUUAAAAGUUUUUGAUGAUCUUCCAAGGUAGUUUCAUGAGCUAACUUAAGAGUGUUAGUCUUUAGUUAGACGCUCAAUCUUCUCCUGGUCAUUGUCAUUAGUUUUAUCUUGAUUACCAUGAUUAAUUGACGUUUCAUCAUAGUAUUCAUCACUAGAGUUGUCAAAAAGUAAAUCAUCAUCACAUAACAAAUCAUCUUCAUCACUAUUGAAAUCAACAUACUCGGGGUGUGAUACCUUUGGGCCUUUAGCCAUGAAGCAUCUUCCAAUUCCUUCACUUGGUGAGUCAAAUAUGUCAUAGGAGUUGGUUGACACAAGUGCUAGACCGGCAACACCUUCAUCUUGAGUAUAUUCGGAGUCGGAGUGAUAACUUCUUUCGGAGUGAUGGUCGGAGUCAGAGCCGGAUACCCAUUCACCAACAUGAGCUUGAUGUCUUCAUUUUGUGUAGCUCUUUGAUGAUUUGUCCUUCCUUUACGAAUCCUUGCUUCUCCGGGAGGUUCUUCGUUCAUAACGAUCAUCUCUACUCCUUCUCUCUCUUGGUGGUGAUUCCUCUCUUCUACUUCUUCUUUUAGGUGAAUCUUCUCUCCUUUUGUAGGGAGUCGUACACUCAUUGGAAUAGUGUCCGGAUCUUCCACAAUUGUAGCAAUUUCGCUCACGACUCGAAGAUCUUUUGUCAUUGUAGGACCUUGACUUGGAACUUAUUUCCUUGCUUCUACUCUUGUAGAACUUGCUGAAGUUCUUCACCAUUAGGCUCAAUUCUUCAUUGAAGGUUUGUUUCUCACUUGAUGAUGUGGGAGCAUCACAUGAGGCUUCGUAAGCACCACUUGACUUGUUGUGAAGCUCUUCUUUAUCCUUGAGUGACAUCUCAUGAGCGAAAAUUCUUCCAAUGACUUCCGUUAGCUUGAGAUCUUUGUAAUUGGGCAUCAUUUGGAUCAAUGUGCACACAGUAUCAUAUUUUCCAUCCAAGGCUCUUAGGAUCUUCUUGAUGAUGAAUCUAUCGGUCAUCUCUUCACUUCCUAAGCCGGCAAUCUCAUUUGUGAUGAGAACAAGCCUAGAGUACAGUUCAGCGACACCUUCACCAUCCUUCAUGUUGAACUUGUCAAGUUGACUUUGAAGCACAUCCAAUUUGGAUUCCUUGAUGGAGUCGGUACCUUUGUGCAUAUCAAUCAAAGUAUCCCAAACUUCCUUAGCAUUCUCAAGGUAGCUGAUUUUGUUGAAUUCUUCGGGGCACAAUUCAUUAAACAGAAUAUCACAAGCUUGAGCGUUGUAUUGUAGCAUCUUCAAAUCUUCCGCGAUAGCUUCACGAUUCGGUUCUCUCCCAUUGAAGAAUUCACCUUGCAAGCCAAUACACACAAUAGCCCAAACGGCGGGGUUAUGUCCAAGAAUAUGCAUUUUCAUCUUAUGCUUCCAACUAGCAAAAUUAGUACCAUCAAAGUAAGGACCUCUAUGGUGGUAGUUUCCCUCGCUAGACGCCAUACUCUCCUAGGUUGUGAAACCAAGGCUAUGAUCACCAAAAUCUAUGGAAAUCAAGGCAAAUGGAGACCGUAGCUCUGAUACCACUUGUAGGAUCGAAAGUAUGUCUAGAAGGGGGUGAUUAGACUACUUGACCAUAUAAAAAUCUAGCCUUUUGCAGAUUUUAGCAACUUAGCACAAGUCAAGAAAUCAACCUACACAUGCAAUUCUAAGAGUAUAGCAACGGAAUGUAAAUCCUUGCAUAUGAAGGUAAAGGGGAGGAGUUUGGAGGGAGCAAACGCAAUGUUGACACGGAGAUUUUUGGCAUGGUUCCGAUAGGUGGUGCUAUCGUACAUCCACGUUGAUGGAGACUUCAACCCACAAAGGGUAACGACUGCGCGAGUCCACGGAGGACUCCACCCAUGAAGGUUCCACGAAGAAGCAACCUUGUCUAUCCCACCAUGGCCAUCGCCCAUGAACAACUUGCCUCACUAGGGUAGAUCUUCACGAAGUAGGUGAUCUCCUUGCCCGUACAAACUCCUUGGUUCAACUCCACAAUCUUGACGGAGGCUCCCAAGUGACACCUAACCAAUCUAGGAGACACCACUCUCCAAAAUGUAAUAGAUGGUGUGUUGUUGAUGAUCUCCUUGAUCUUGUGCUUCAAAUGAUAGUCUCCCCAACACUAAACUCUCUCUCUCAUAGGAUUGGAUUUGGUGGAAAGUUGAUUUGAGUGGAAAGCAACUUGGGGAAGCCUAGAGAUCAAGAUUCAUAUGGUUGGAUUGGAAUAUCUUGGCCUCAACACAUGAUUAGGUGGUUCUCUCUCAGAAAAUGAAUGCUGGAAGUGUAGGCAUGUUCUGAUGGCUUUCCCUCAUGAAUGAGGAGAGCGUGGAGGGGUAUAUAUAGCCUCCACACAAAAUCUAACCGUUGCACACAAUUUACCAAACUCGGUGGGACCGAAUCAUAAAAUUCGAUCAGACCGAUUUAGUUCAUAAUGUGACUGUUAGGCAUUUCGGUGGGACAGACACGUCAACUCGGUGGAACCGAUUUUGUUAGGGUUAGGGCAUAAAUUAAUCUUGGUGAGACUGAUUACACAAACUCGGUGGGACCGACUUUGGUAAUUAGCUAACCAGAGAGUUGGUCAGGCAAACUCGGUGGGAGCGAAUCACUCAUCUUGGUGGGACCGAAACAUUACAAAAGGGAAAUAAAGAGUUUGCAUUGUGAACUCGGUGGGACCGAUCGCUCAUCUCGGUUAGACCUAAACAUUACGAAGGGAAAUAGAGAGUUUGCAAUCCCAUCUCGGUGAGACCGAGAUCCCUAUCAGUGAGACCGAAGUAACUAGGGUUUCUGGCAGUGGCUAUGUCAAAUGAACUCGAUGGCGCCGGAUGGAUCAAAUUGGUGGGGCCGAGUUUGACUUUUGGUUUGGGACAUAUGUGGAUAUGAGAAAGUGGUUGAGGGUUUUUGGAGCAUAUCACAAAGCAUUUUGAGCAAGCAAGCCAUUACACAACACCUCAUCCCCUUUUAAUAGUAUUGGCUUUUCCUAUAGACUCAAUGUGAUCUUGGAUCACUAAAAGUAAAUGUAGAGUCUUGAGCUUUAGAGCUUGAGCCAAUCCUUUGUCCUUGGCAUUUUGAGGGGUCCACAUUCCUAAUCCAUGCCAUGCCAAUCACUGAACUUUCCUGAAAUAUUCAUCUUGAAAUAGCAUUAGUUCAAUGAGCUAUAUGUUGUUAAUCAUUACCAAAACCACCCAGGGAUUGUUGCACUUUCAGGUACUGAUGUCCUCUGCGAGAUUUCCGGGCUUGGGAUGAGUGUCUAGCGGGGAGGGACCGGAUGUUUGGCCACUAGAACUUCUUCAGGCAUUGCCUUGUUGUAGUCGUCUGCGUCUUCAGGCGCUGGAUGUCCGAGCCAUGGGCCGGAUGUCCGGUCGCUGUAGCAUUCGAGUGUCUCCUUCCGUCGUGUUCCCUCCUUCGUGUCCAUGGUGACUUGGCCUUCAUUCCGAGGGUCUCCGAGGUCGUCUCCUUGAUACCUAAGCAUGGUAUUAAAGCCAUGUCUCAUGUUGUUCAUAUGAAAGCUCAUUAAGGACAGAUGACAGCUCGACCUCGAUAGCUCUUGCACGUGCUCUUUUCAUCGGUCCAUUUGCUACUUGGGGAAUGGGGAGAUGAUUGUAGGUCAAUGGGGAUAACUGUUGGAUGCUCCGCAUCAUCUGAUACUCCCAUGCCUCUCUCUAAUAAUACCAUUGUUAUUGCUGCUCAAGAAGAUAAUGCCAUAUUUGUUGUUGUUGUUGUUGUGCAUCAAAAAAAGGUGGAAGAAAAGGUCUCACUUGUCGAUGUUGCCGCCAUUGGAAUUUGUGAUUCCAUGCAUGAUAUUUUAACAGGAAAACAACUAGUUGUAGAUGAACUAGUGCACCACGGUUGCUCUCGGAUCAUGCAUGUCCUAAUUAAAAGACACUACUUCCAACAGUCCGAGCCGCACAUAGCAUGUUUUUGUUCUAUGAGGAUCUUCCAAGCUAUUAUUAUUUUGAUAGAUCACGUCCUCUAGAGAUUCAAAGAUCAUACGCAGCAAGGACUCUUCUAACGUGGGAAUUUCUUUAUUUGUGUUCCACCAGAUGGGACCCACUAGAUCAUAUUAAACUACCAUGGAAUACAAUAUAGUAAGAGUAUUAGGUAAAGUCCAAUUUGUAAGGGUUACAUGCCAAAGUAAGGCACGUAAUCAACUAGCAGUCCAAGGUUGUUUAGAUUGAUUUUUGUCUUCAUAGGAUCGGUUGUUUAUUUUUCAAGUUAGACGCAGGUCGGCUAUGUACUAUAAAUAGGCAGGGUAGUGCAUCGUUGUACGGAAUGUUAUUUUAUGAUGAAUUAGACAUUAGCGUGUGCUCCAGCCAUCAGCCAUUAUUGUGUUUAGAGAAAUCUUGUCAAAAAUCUCUACUGGCGUGUGAGUUCCUGUGACAUGGCGCGUAGGAGAUUACAAGUUGAGCCUAUACGGUUCAUCCACGUUAUUCCUUCAGAUCAAGGGGUUAGCGUGUUGUUUUCGCGGGAUUUGCGAACAUCAUCAUAAACCUGCUACAGUUACUUCUUGCGAUGGAGGUUUGUGCCGCGAAAGAUCGUGCCAUCAAUGAACCGACCCUCGCCUCGAUGUUCGCUCCACAUCAAGUGGUAUCAGAGACAGGCGUUGCUCACGGCACUUCGGAGGAGAGGGCCGGCGCAUCGUCACAAAGGAGGAGCUAGUGGAAGCUAUCUAGUGACUUUUAAUUGGAGGAGAAAGGCUAUGGUGCUGAACUUUUUCACACCUACUGUAAAGUGGGAGAGAAAGUUUGUGCCACAACGAUCAAGCAUGACAGCUCAAUCAAUGCGGUCGGCAUUGACAUGGUGGAUAAGCUGCAACUAUUAACAACACCACAUCAACGACCGUACUCACUGAGGAGAUGCUACGACAAGUUUGACAUUACGCACCAAACUAUGGUACUGUUUUCAGUCGGCAAAUUUUCUUGUGAAGUUUUGUGUGAGGUAAUUCCGAUAUAGAUGGUGUCAUGUCAUAUACUGCUAGGAGAGCCGUGGUACAAGAACAAUAAUUCUAGAUAGGACUAUCUCACCAUUGAACAGAAUACAAAAUAUGUUCUCAUGGCCAUGGAGUAGAACUUGUUCAAGAGUUGGAGAAAAGAACGACAACACAAGAUGAAGGAGCAAGGAGAAGCAAAGAAGGAAGACAAAACUGCUAAUAUUUCUUUGGCGGACGUACAAUCUGCAGGCCACAUUAUUCCUAUAUAAAGACUAAAUUGAAACCAAGGACGGUUUCACUUAAACUGUGGGAGGAUGACGCGCUCAUGCCUCUCUCUGAUAAUACCAUUGUUACUGCUACUCAAGAAUAUAAUUCCAUAUUUGUUGUUGUUGUGCAUCACGAAAAGAUGGAAGAAAAGGUCUCACUUGUCGAUGUCGCCACCAUUGGAAGUUGUUAUCCAAUGCAUGAUAUUUUAACAAGAAAAUAUCUAGUAGUAGAUGAACUAGUGCACCAUAGUUGCUCUCGGAUCGCGCCCGUACUAAUUAAAAGACACUACUUUGAACAGUCCCAGCCGAACAUAGCAUGUUUUUGUUUGAUGAGGGAUCUUCCAAGCUAUUAUUAUUUUGGUAGGUCACGUCCUCGAGAGAUUCAAAGAUCGUACGCAACAAGUACUCUUCUAAAGUGGGAAUUUAUUUGUUUGUGUUUCACCAGAUGGGGCCCACUAGAUCAGAUCAAACUACCAUAGAAUGCAAUAUAUUAAGAGUAUUAGGUAUAGUCCAAUUUGUAAAGGUUACAUGCCAAAGUAAGGCAUGCAAUCAACUAGGAGUCCAAGGUUGUUUAGAUUGAUUUUUGUUUGCUAGGAUCGGUUGUUUAUUUUUGAAGUUAGACGCAGGUCGGCUAUGUACUAUAAAUAGCCAGGGUAGUGCAUCGUUGUACGAAAGGUUAUUUUAUGAGGAAUUAGACACGGUCGUGUGCUCCGGCCAUUGUCCAUUAUUGAGUUUAGAUAAAUCUUGUCAAAAAUCUCUACUAGCGUAUGAGUUCUAGCGAUGCGACACGUAGGAGAUUACAAGCUGAGCCUAUACGCUUUGUCCACGUGAUUCCUUCAGAUCAAGGGGUUGGCGUGCUGUUUCUGCAGGAUUUGCGAACAUCAUCGUAAACCAACUAUGAUUACUUGCUGCGGUGGAGGUCUGUGCCAUGAAAGGUCGGGCCAACAACAAACUGGCCCUCACCUUGAGGUUCGCCCCACAUCAUCAUCUCCCCUCCACCCUUGGGGAAGAUCCUCUCUUGGAUUGAUAUCAAAUGAGAUCAUUGUAUUGAAGAUCAAGAGAGAGAGAGAGAGAGAGAGAGAGAGAGAGAGAGGUCUGUGCCAUGAAAGGUCGGGCCAACAACAAACUGGCACUCGCCUUGAGGUUCGCCCCACAUCAACAUCUCCCCUCCACCCUUGGGGAAGAUCCUCUCUCGGAUUGAUAUCAGAUGAGAUCAUUGUAUUGAAGAUCAAGAGAGAGAGAGAGAGAGAGAGAGAGAGAGGGAGAGAGAGAGCCAUCUAGCUACUGCUAUGGACCCAUAGGUCCCGUGGGAACUACUCACACGUCAUCAUGGAGGCGUCAAGGCUUACUACUCUGAAAGUUUUCCACGCUAGUGUUGGCAUGCCAAAGGGAACUUAUGAGGAAGAUCAGAGAAAGUUCAAGAAGCCAAUACUAUGUUUGUGGGAUGCAUUCUAAGUUUUCUUGCUGACCAUCUGUGUGAUGUGUAGAUGCACAUAGAAUAUGGAAAUACGUUGUGGGAUGCACUGAAUGCUAAAUUCGGUGCAACAAAUGUGGGCAAUGGAUAGUUUCCAUGACUACAAGAUGCUGAAUAACUGUUAUGUGGUUGAACAAGCUCAUGAGAUGCAGUGCAUUGUGAAUGAACUAGAACUCCUUAACUGUGUUCUAGCCAAUAAAUUAAUGGAUGGGUGCAUGAUUGCAAAGUUGCCUCCUUCAUGGAGGAAUUUUGCCACUACUCAAAAACAUAAGACACAAGAGAUAUUAGUUGAAAAUCUGAUUGCAUCUCUUCAUGUUGACGAGAAAGCUCGGGAUAAAGACACUACUAUGGAAGGAGGCGAGGUUCAACCUACCACCAACAUGGUACAAAGGUACACACAGAAUAAGAACAAAGGAACGAACAAACCUGUUUUAAGCAGGCCUGUCAAGACUACUACCUUCAAGAAGAAGAAGUUGAACAAGGCUGAGUUAGAGAGCUACACAUGUGGGAAGCACGAACACUUAUCCAAGGAAUGCCCUGAUCUUGCAUAUCGUAGUGGGGAAACAGGCUCCAAGAAUGUCAACAUGGUGACCUCUAGAAAUACUGAUGGGUUACCAAAUGUCUUUUCGUAUUUCAAUCAUCAUCUUGGUGGAUUGAUUCGGAUGCUAACGUUCACGUGUGUGCUGACAUAUCUUUGUUUAAUUAUUAUCAGGUUGCAUGGGAUUCUUCCAUCCUAAUGGGGAAUGGGUCGCAUGCUUCUAUUUAUGGCAUUGGCACGAUGGAUCUGAAGUUUACUUCGAGGAAGAUCGUGGAACUAAGGAACAUGCAACAUAUCCCUACUAUGAACAAAAAUCUAAUUAGCGGUUCCCUUCUAUGUUGAGAUGGGUUUAAGGUAGUUUUAGAGUGGAAUAAAGUAAUCAUGUCGAGAUAUGGACAAUUUAUAGGCAAAGGCUAUGAGUUUGGAGGCUUGUUCCUCUUUUCCGUUUUAAACGUUUGCAAUAAGGCAGUAAACCAAAUUUGUGCUAGUGUUAAUGAUGAUGCAAGUGUUUGGCACUCUUGUUUAUGUCACAUUAAUUUUGGCUUAAUGGCUCAGCUAUCCAGUAUGAGUUUAAUUAUCAAAUUUCACUGUUGAAGGUUCUAAGUGCCAUAGUUGUGUGAAAUCAAAGCAACCUCGAAAGCCUCACACGGCUGCAAAAAAGAGAAACUUGGCACCUCUAGAACUCAUACAUUCGGAUCUAUGUGAGGUGAAUGGUGUGUUGAUGAAAGGUGGAAAGAGAUAUUUCAUAAUCUUGAUUGAUGAUGCGACUAGAUUCUGAUUUGUUUAUUUGUUGCAAACUAAAGAUGAAGCUUUAAACUGCUUUAAAAUCUAUAAACUUGAAGACGAAAAUAAACUAGAGAGAGAUAUCAAGCAUCUUAGGUAAGAUUGUGUUUUAGAGUACUUUCCCAAAGUAUUUGAUGAAUUUUGUGAGGAACACGAUAUUAUUCAUGAGAGGAACGCCUCCCAAUUCGCCCCAAUCAAACAGGGUUGCCGAGAGGAAAAAAUGUUGGAAAUAUGACCUAGAGGCAAUAAUAAAGUGGUUAUUAUUAUAUUUGCUUAAUCAUGAUAAAGGUUUAUUAUUCAUGUUAUAAUGGUAUUGAUUGGAAACUUAAAUACAUGUGUGAAUACAUAAGCAAAUACCAAGUCCCUAGUAAGCCUCUACUAGACUAGCUCGUUGAUCAAAAGAUUGUUAAGGUUUCCUGACCAUAGACAUGAGUUGUCACUUGAUAACAGGAUCACAUCAUUAGGAGAAUGAUGUGAUGGAAAAGACCCAUCCGUUAGCUUAGCAUAUGAUUGUUCAGUUUAUUGCUACUGCUUUCUCAAUGUCAAAUACUUGUUCCUUCGACCAUGAGAUCAUGCAACUCCUAGAUACCGGAGGAAUACCUUGUGUGCUAUCAACUUCAUGUCGUAACUUGGUGAUCACAAAGGUGCUCUACAUGUAUCUUUGAAGGUGUCUGUUGGGUUGGCAUCAAUCAAGAUUGGGAUUUGUCACUCCUUAUAAUGGAGAGGUAUCUCUGGGCCCUCUCGGUAAUACAACAUCACAAGAAGCUUGCAAGCAAAGUGACUAAGGAGUUAGUUACAAGAUGGUGUAUUAUGGAACGAGUAAAGAGACUUGAUGGUAACGAGAUUGAACUAGGUAUGGAGACACCGACGAUCGAAUCUUGGGCAAGUAACAUACCGACAGACAAAGGGAACUACGUAUAUUGUCAUAAAGGUUCGACCGACAAAGAACUUCGUAGAAUAUGUAAGAACCAAUAUGGGCAUCCAGGUCCCGCUAUUAGUUAUUGACCGGAGAAGCGUCUCGGUCAUGUCUACAUCAUUCUCGAACCCAUAGGGUCACACGCUCAACGUUCAUUGAUGAUACAAUACUAUAUGUGUUAUGUAUAUUGGUGACCAAAUGUUGUUUAGAGUCGCAGAUGAGAUCGCAAACAUGACAAGGAGCUCUGGAAUGGUCCAGAGGUAAAGAUUUAUAUAUAGGGUGAUAGUAUUUGGUCUCUAGAAGAGUUUCGGAAUGCACCAGAUAAUUAUCGGAUCACCAGAAGGGGUUCCAGAAGGCUACAUGGGGUUGUUGGGCCUAACGGGCCAAAAGGAGGGAGCACACCAGCCCACAUGGGGGAUGGCACGCCCACCUUCUGCCUUUCUCCUUGCAAGGGAGAAGGAAGGGGAGGUGCCAUAAGGCUGCCGGUCCCCUUUCCAUUCCCCCACACGCCAAGUAGGAAGGGGGGCGCGCUUAGGUCAGGCACCCUAAGGCGGCCCCCGCCCCCCUUGGGGUGCGCCUAGGGCUGCGUCCCCUCCCUGCUUCACCUAUUUAUAUGAGAGGAGGGGACGAGGCGCCACACACAAUGAAUCCCCAAGCCAUGUGUCGGCGCCCCCUCUCCCUCUAGUUCAUCCUCUGCUCUAAUCCGUUGUGCUUGGCGAAGCCCUGCGGAAUAGUUUCACCACCACCAUCAUCACGUCGUCGUGCUGCCAGAACUCAUCUACUACUUCACCUCUCUUGCUGGAUCAAGAAGGCGAUGAUGUCAUUGAGAUGAACAUGUGUUGAACACGGAGGUUACGUGCGUUCGGUGCUUGAUUGGGGCGGAUCGUGAAGUUGUAGAACUACAUCAACCACAUUGAUAAACACUUCCGCUUAGUGAUCUAAGUGUAUGUAGAUGCUCUCUCCCUCUCAUAGCUAUGCAUCUCCAUGGAUAGAUCUUGCGUGUGCAUAGAAUUUUUUUGUUUUCCAUGCAACAUUCCCCAACAGUGGUAUCAGAGCUAGGUCCAUACGUAGAUGAUAUGCACGAGUAGAACACAAGGAGUUGUGGGCGGUGAUGUUCAUAUUGCUUACCACCAAUGUAUUAUUUUGAUUCGACGGUAUUGUGGGAUGAAGCAGCUGGGACAAACCUUCCAUGUCCACGUACAUGAGACUGGUUCCACCGACUGGCAUGUAACUUGUUUUGCAUAAGGUGGUUGGUGGGUAUCUGUUUCUCUCACUUUAGUUGAAUCUAAUUUGACUACAGCGGUCCUUGCAUAAGGUUAAAUAGAAACUUGAUAAUAACCAUUGUGGUUUUGCAUAGGUAAGAACGGUUCUUGCUAGUUGCCCAUAGCAGCCACGUAAAACUUGCAACGACAAAGUAGAGGACGUCUAACUUGUUUUUGCAGGGCAUGUUGUGAUGUGAUAUGGUCAAGACGUGAUAUGAUAUAUGUUGCUAUAUGAGAUGAUCAUGUUUUGUAAUAAGUUCAUGACUUGCAUGUCGAUGAGUAUGACAACCAGAAGGAGCCUUAGGGUUGUCUUUACUUUAUAUGACCUCCAUGUCAAUCAAUUAGCGCCAUGUAAUUGCUUUACUUUAUCGCUAUGCAUUAGCACUAGUUGUAGAAGGAAUAGUUGGUGAGACGACCCUGGUGCAACGAUGGAGAUCAAGGUGUCGUGCCAGUGAUAAUGGAUAUCAUGCCUUUGCUUUGGAGAUGGAGAUCAAAAGCACAAGAUGAUGAUGGUCAUAUCAUGUCACAUAUUUUUAUUGCAUGUGAUGUUUAUCCUUUUAUGCAUAUUAUUUAUCUUAGAACGACGGUGGCAUUAUAAGAUGACCCCUUCACUUAAUUUCAAGAUAAAAGUGUUCUCCUCAAGUAUGCAUCGUUGCCAAAGUUCGUCAUUUUGAAACACCUCGUGAUGAUCGGGUGUGAUAGAUUCUACGUUCACAUACAACGAGUGUAGGCCAAUUUUGCACAUGUAGAAUACUUGGGUUAAACUUGACGACCCUAGCAUGUAUAGACAUGGUCUCGAAACACUAGAGAUCGAAAGGUCGAACGUGAGUCAUAUAAUAGAUAUGAUCAACAUAGAGAUGUUCACCACUAAAGACUACCCCAUCUCACGUGAUGAUCGGACAUGGGUUAGUUGAUUUGGAUCAUGUAUCACUUAGACAACUUGAGGGAUGUUGAUUUAAGUAGGAGUUCAUUAGUAAUAUGAUUAUUUGAACUAAAAUUUAUCAGCAACUUAGUCCUAAUAGUUUUUGCCAAUCUAUGUUGUAGAUCAAUGGCCCGUGACCGCUCCCUUGAUUUUUAAUGCGUUCCUAGAAAAAGCUAAGGGGAAAGAUGAUGGUAGCAACUACACAGCUUGGGUCCGUUACUUGAGGUUUAUCCUCAUUGCUACACAAUAGAAUUAUGUCCCAGAUGCACCGCUAGGUGACAGACCUGCUGCAGGAGUUGAUGCUGACGUUAUGAACGUCUGGCAGGCUAGAUCUAAUGACUACUCGAUUGUUCAUUGUGCCAUGCUUUACGUCUUGGAACCGGGAAUUCAAAAGCAUUUUGAACGCCAUAGAGCAUAUGAGAUGUUCCAAGAGGUGAAGUUGAUGUUUCAAGCUAAUGCCUGGGUUGAGAGAUAUGAAGUCUCCAACAAGUUGUUUAGCUGUAAGAUGGAGGAGAACAGUUCUGUCAGUGAACACAUACUCAGAAUGUCUGGGUACCACAACCACUUGACUCAGCUAGUAAUUGAUCUUCCAGAUGAGAGUGUUAUUGACAGAGUUCUUCGUUCACUGCCACCAAGCUACAAAGGCUUCGUGAUGAACUAUAAUAUGCAAGGGAUGAUGAAAACGAUUCCCGAGCUCCUCGCGAUGCUGAAAUUGGUGGAGAUAGAAAUCAAGAAAGAGCAUCAAGUGUUGAUGCUUAACAAGACCACCAGUUUUAAGAAAAAGGGCAAGGGAAAGAAAGGGAACUUCAAGAAGAAUGACAAGCAAGUUGCCGCUCCCAUGAAGAAGCCCAAAGUUGGACCCAAGCCUGAAACUGAGUGCUUCUACUACAAAGGAAAUGGUCACUAGAAGCGGAACUGACCCACAUACUUGGUAGAUAAGAAGGAUGUCAAAGUAAACAAAGGUAUAUUUGAUAUACAUGUUAUUGAUGUAUUCCUUACUAAUGCUCGUAGUAGCGCCUAGUUAUUUGAUACUGGUUCGAUUGCUCAUAUUUGUAACUUGAAAUAGGAUAUGCGGAAUAAAUGAAGAUUGGCUAAGGAUGAGGUGAUGAUGCGCGUCAAAAAUGGUUCCAAGGUUGAUGUGAUCGCCGUCGGCACGCUGCCUCUACAUCUAGCUUCAGUAUUAGUUUUCUCAAUAAUUGUUAUUUGGUGCCAGUGUUGAGCAUGAACAUUAUAUCUGGAUCUUGUUUAUUGCGAGACAGUUAUUCAUUAAGUCAGAGAAUAAUGGUUGUUCUAAUUAUAUGAGUAACAUCUUUUAUGAUCAUGCACCCUUAGUGAAUGGUCUAUUCUUGUUGAAUCUCGAUCGUACUGGUACACAUACUCAUAAUAUUGAUGCCAAAAGAUGCAAAGUUGAUAAAUAUAGUGCAACAUACUUAUGGCACUACCGUUUAGGUCAUACUGGUGUAAAGCGCAUGAAGAAACUCCAUGCGGAUGGACUUUUGGAAUCAGUUGAUUAUGAAUCAUUUGAUACUUGUGAACCAUGCCUCAUGGGUAAGAUGACUAAAACUCCGUUCUCCGGAACAAUGGAGCGAGCUAUUGACUUAUUAGAAAUAAUACAUACCGAUGUAUGUGGUCCGAUGAGUGUAGAAGCACGCGGCGGGUAUCAUUAUUUUCUAACCUUCACAAAUGUUUUGAGUAGGUAUGGGUAUAUCUACUUAAUGAAACACAUGUCUGAAACAUUUGAGAAGUCAAAGAAUUUCAGAGUGAAGUGGGGAAUCAUCGUAACAAGAAAAUAAAGUUUCUACGAUCUGAUCGUGGAGGUGAAUACUUGAGUUAUGAGUUUGGCCUUCAUUUAAGACAAUGUGGAAUUGGUCGACAACUCACGCCACCUAGAACACCACAGCAUAAUGGUGUGUCCGAACGUCGUAACCAUACUUUAUUAGAUGUGGUGUGUUCUAUGAUGUCUCUCACAGAUUUGCCUUUGUCAUUUUGGGGUUAUGCAUUAGAGACAGGUGCAUUCACGUUAAAUAGGGCACCGUCUAAAUCCAUUGAGACGACACCGUAUGAACUACAGAUUGGCAAACCUAAGCUAUCAUUUCUUAAAGUUUGGGAAUGCGACACUUAUGUUAAAUGGCUUCAGCCUGAUAAACUCGAACCCAGAGCGGAGAAGUGCAUCUUCAUAGCAUACCCUAAAGAAACUAUUGGGUAUACCUUCUACCACAGAUCCAAAGGCAAGAUCUUUGUUGCUAAGAAUGGGUCAUUUCUAGAGAAGGAGUUUUUCUCGAAAGAAGUGAGUGGGAGGAAAGUAAAACUUGAUGAGGUAGUUAUACCUUCUCUCAAAUUGGAAAGUAGCACAUCAAAGAAAACCAUUCCCUUAAUGCCUACACCAACUAGAGAAGAAGCUAAUGAUGAUGAUCAAGAAAGUGAGUGGGAGCUUUGUAGCAUUUCUGAUAUUAUAUGUGGAUGACAUAUUUCUGAUUGGAAAUGAUAUAGAAUUUCAAGAUAGCAUAAAUGGAUAUUUGAAUAAGAAUUUUUCAAUGAAAUACCUCGGUGAAGCUGCUUACGUAUUGGGCAUUAAGAUCUAUAGGGAUAGAUCGAGACGCUUAAUAGGACUUUCACAAAGCACAUACCUUGACAAAGUUCUGAAGAAGUUCAAAAUGGACUGAUAUGUCUCCAUCGUAUCUAUAAUUUUUGAUUGUUUCAUGCCAAUAUUCUACAACUUCCAUAUACUUUUGGCAACUUUUUAUUCUAUUUUUGGGACUAACAUAUUGCCAGUUCCUAUUUGUUGCAUGUUUUUUCUGCUGCAGAAUAUCCAUACUAAACAAAGUCCAAACGCAAUAAAAACUUACGGAGAUUUUUUUGGAAUAUAUGUGAUUUGGGAAUUUGAAUCAACACGGGACAACGCCCGAGGGGCCCACAAGCCCUGGAGGCGUGCCCCUUCCCCAGGGCACGGCCAGGAGGCUUGUGGCCACCCCAUAAGGCGGUUGGUGCCCUUCUUAGGCCACAAGAAAGCUAAUAUCUGGAUAAAAAAUGUGUUAAAAUUUCAGCCCAAGCGGAGUUACGGAUCUCCGGGAAUUUAAGAAACGGUGAAAGGCCAGAAUCUGGGAACGCGGAAACAGAGAGAUAGAUCCAAUCUCGGAGGGGCUUCACUGCCAUGGAGGCCAUGGACCAGAGGGGAAAUCCUCCUCCCGCCUAAGUGGGGGGUCAAGGAAGAAGAAGGAGGAGGGGGCUCUCUCCCCCUCUCUCCCGGUGGUGCCAGAAUGCCGCCAUCGCAAUCAUCGUGUGAUGGUGAUCUACACCAACACAUCCCUCAUCUUCCCCAACAUCUUCAUCACCUUCCCCCAUCUAUAUUCAGUAGUCCACUCUCCAACAACCCGUUGUACCCUCUACUUGAACAUGGUGCUUUAUGCUUCACAUUAUUAUCCAAUGAUGUGUUGCCAUCCUAUGAUGCUUGAGUAGAUUUUUGUUGUCCUAUCGGUGAUUGGUGAAUUGCUAUGACUGGUUUAAUUUGCUUGUGGUUAUGUUGCUAUCCUUUGGUGCUCAUCAUAUGAGCACGCAUGUGAAUCACACCAUAGGGUUAGUUGUAUGUUUAUAGGACUAUGUAUUGGAGGGCAAGGGUGAUAGCAGCAUCAGCCUUGCAUAGAAAUUGAUGCAUACGGGAUUGAAGGGGGGCCAAUAUAUCUUAAUUCUAUGGUUGGUUUUUACCUUAAUGAACGUUAGUAGUUGUGGAUGCUUGCGAAUAGUUCCAGUCAUAAGUGCAUAGAAUUCCAAGUAAGGGAUGACAUGCUAGUAGUGGCCUCUCCCACGUAAAACUAGCUAUCGGUCUAGUAAUGUAGUCAAUUGCUUAGGGACAAUUCCGCAACUCCUACCACCACUUUUCCACACUCGUUAAACUAAAUUAAUUGUUACUUUAUCUAAAGAGCCCCUAGUUUUUAUUUAUGUGCCCUUUAUUAUUUUGCAAACCUAUCCCACAACACCUACAAAGUACUUUUAGUUUCAUACUUGUUCUAGGUAAAGCGAACGUUAAGCAUGCAUAGAGUUGUAUCGGUGGUCGAUAAAACUUGAGGGAAUAUUUUUUCUACCUUUACCUCCUCAUUGGGUUCGACACUCUUACUUAUCGAAAGAGUCUACAACUGAUUCCCUAUACUUGUGUGUUACCAAGACCUUUUUCUGGCGCCGUUGCCGGGGAGCAAUAGCGUGGGGGUGAAUAUUCUCGUGUGUGCUUGUUUGCUUUAUCACUAAAUAGAUUUUAUUUGUUGUUCUAAGUUGUUCUCUAUCUUUAGUUAUGGAUAUGGAACACGAAAUACCAAAAAAUGGUGUACUUGCUACUCAUGGAGAUGGGGGACCUCCUAAAACCCUCGAUGCUCGUUAUGUGGAAAAUAUUGAACACCACUUUGAUAAUCCUGAGAAAACCCCGUUCAACUUGAUAAUGGGAGACACGUUGGAUCAACAUGAAUACUUUAGAUAUUAUCCCUUGACUCAAAAAGGGAAACUAUUAUGGGAUCAAAUUCAUAUGUUGCAUUGGUAUGCUCGGAAUUUAUGCUUGAGAUAUGAUUACAGUUGUUGCUCUAGGAGGCUCCACACUUCCCUUUUUCAAGUAAAUUUAAUGCUCAUAAAACCUUGGAUUCUUAUGCUAAUGGUAUAUAUGAUUACUACAAUGUGGGAUGAAUAGAAGAAUCCAUUGCUUUUAAGGGUGCUUAUGAAAUUGAAUCUUUGUUUUAAAAGUGUGAAAAUUAUGAUGAUGCUGUUUACAGACCUGAAAAUUAUGCUAUACUUCAAUAUUGCUAUGAGAAUUAUGAAUAUAAUUCUGAUGUUGAUACAUUUAUUGAGAAAGUCUCCGCUGUCGAAGUAGAGAAUAAUAUUUUGCAGGAAUCUAUGGAAGAAUAAAUUGAUGACACUGUGAUCCCGUUAGAUGAAAAAGAUGACGAGGAGAGCGAAGAACAAAAGGAGGAAGAGCAGAUUAUCUACUCGUGCCCACCUUAUAAUGAGAGUAACUCUUCAACUCAUACAUUGUUUAAUUUCCCUUCGUUCUUACCGAAGGAUGAUGCUACGAUAAUUGCUAUGAUCCCUUUGAUUCGUUUGAAAUAUCCCUUUUUGAUGAACUCAAUGCUUGCUAUGCUUGUGGCCAUGACGCCAAUAUGAACAAUGCUUAUGGAGAUGAACUUGCUAUAGUUCCUUACGUUAAGAAUGAAAUUGUUGCUAUUGCACCCACGCAUAAUAGUCCUAUUAUCUUCUUGAAUUCUCCCAACUACACUAUAUCGGAGAAGUUUGCGCUUAUUAAGGACUAUAUUGAUGGGUUCACUACAAAAAAAAUACACUUCCGUGAUGAUACGUGUUUGUCACAGUAGGUCAUGUUUUCUGUCAUGCAUGUACACCAUGACGAUUUUAUGACAGAAUCAAGAUAGUCAUACCUGUGCUGUCGUAGAAGUGUUCCAUGACAUUACCAAAAUUAUCAUCAUGGAAGUGUCCACUUCCAUGACGAUAAAUCACGCGUCAUAGAAGUGCUUUCGUCAAGGAUGACCGACACGUGGCAUCCACCGUAAUGGCUCGCCGUUAAGCUAUCGGGUCCGUUUUUGGAUCCGAUAACCCGUUAACACCCGGACCAAUGGUGAUUUUCCACGUGUAAAAUUCUCAUUGGCCAGAGGAAACACGUGUCUGCUCCUUGGCGGGCCAAAUGUUGCCCGUCCAUUGGAGGAGACAUGCCUAAGAUACGCCACCACGUGGCAGGGCCCAACAGAGGCCCAUAUAGGUUAAAAAGGCCGGCCUAGUCAAAGGCAUGUAGUACUUACUCAGGUACUAGUGGGCCAGCCCAAUAACAGCCUAUUUAAUAAAGGCCCAUUUACGGCCUAAAGCCAGAUCUGGCCCGUUAAUUGUUCGCCGAAUAUUUGGGCCCAAUUACAGCCCAGUGACUUUCGGCCUAUUAGAGGCCUGAUGUAGACAUGGGCCCAUUUUAGCCCGGUGUGUCUUUCGGCCUGGGAAUGGCAUGUGCUUCCCAUGGGCCAUAUAUGGUCCGACACGACAUCCGGCCCACUAACGGCCCGUGAUAAGGGUGGCAACAGUUCAGCCCAACGUGACUUUGGGCCUAUUAAAGGCCUGUCGUACAAUUCGGCCCGUUGAUGCCUAUACUAAGCUUUCAGCCUCUUAAAGGCCCAUGAUAUCAGUGGGCUAACUAAGGCCCGAGAUAUGUUUCGGCCUCGUAACGACCCGUCAUAUAACUGGGCCAAAAAAGGCCCGAUCUACAUUUCAGCCUGCUAAAGGCCUGUCGACGACUAGUGAAAAUUGAGGCCCAAUAUGCAUUUCGGCCUGCUAAAGGCCCAUGGUUUCUUCUGGGCCGUAACAGGCCAGUAGAAUAUUCAGCCUGUUAAUGGACCAACGCUACCUAGGCCAAACUAAGCGCUGGGUCCACAAAAGGCCCAACUAAAAUUUCGGCCAAAUAUAGGCCGGAGUAAGUUGUAGGCCUGGCGCAAAGUGUGAAGGCCCCAAUCAUUCAGGCCCAAGAAAGAUGUAGGCCGACCCAAUUGUGGCCCGCUAAAAACCAGGCCCGUUAGAGGCGAAUGUUUCAGCCCGGUCGACUACAUCAGAUUUUUUUUAGAUAGCGAAUGAUGGCAAUAACUAGUAGGAAUUAAGAACAAACCUACUCUAUACAAUAAAGAAAUUACGGCAUAGUAACUUAGAAUAAACCUAAACUAUACAAUAAAGGAUUUAUGGUAUAUUACAUCCACUGGGCAUCAAAGUUCGCCACCAGUGAUCAUAAAGCGCAACGAAGAAGCAGAUUACAAAAACUGGGCACCAUUGCAGCGUAACAAAAUAAUACUGAACCGAGACCACUUCCAAGACAGUUCAAGAAAGGUUAGCCUUGCACGGGAACUGCUGCGCAAGCUGCAGAGCAAGGCUGUGAGACCGGCCUAGCAUGUCGGUCAUAGCUUCCAGGUGUAGCUGUUUAGCAAUGAGGUUCUCAUUGGUGUUCCCCGCAAUCUUUCUUAGAGAUAGGCCUUCAAGUAAAAGUUGAGUUGCAGAAUGCCUUUCUACUAGAACUUGGGACUGAAGAAGUCGAACUGAUUAAGACAAUGAAUUCUAUGAGCUUGUCUGACUGCUAGUCUCAGGUAACUUGAACACUGCAUCAAGACAAGACUUUGGGGUUGUCUCGCUAUCUUCAAGAUGUUUUGCCUUCUUUGCUGCAAUAUAUGUUGGGUUUGUCUCACAGCCUUCAGCAGACUUGUGCAUGCCAUCAGGCAUAUCACCCUGAAACAAGCACAGAGAUGACAGGUUUUGCGCGUGUAUAAACAAAGAUAAUAAUUGUGUUGUCAAUUCCAUCCAAUUUCAAAUUAGAAAAUAAAGAGUAAGUUCAAAAUAUCAAUAGCAUAAUUUGGCAUUGUUCAUAAUGCGGGGAGCUUCAUCACACUAUUGGAUUACUAUGUCGACAUAACAAGCACAAAUGAAGGGCAAAGACAGUCAUUGUAUCUAUUUUGGUUAAUGUGCAUGGCAUGUUGUUCAUAUCAUCAACCACAUCAGUAAGAUAAAACAGGAGAUGACAAGGUGCAAACGUGGGCUGUUUCACCACACACUGGAUUAUAGAUCCACAAAAACAAGCAUACAUAUAGGGUGUAUUGAGUAAUGUGCAUGGUAUAAAUAAGGAAUUUAGUUUUACAAGUAAAACUUGAAACUUACGGUUCUUGCUAACAUGCAUUUUGAUAGAAACAGCAAACUAAACAACAGUAAACGAUAGGGAGUAUGAGCAAAUUAAACAACAGUAGAGGAUAAAGGCUUUACAAGGACUGACUUACAUUAACAGUUAAUACUGUCUUUAUAAUGCCCUUCUCCAUGUCAAGGGAAGGAUAACUCAAGAAUUUCAGCACAUAAUGUUCUUCAUAAGCAUUGCAUGUACUCUACAUUUUGAAGAGAGUAAUUAUAGAUAUGAUAAUACUGGAAGGGAUAGAGGAUAAUGAAGAUAAGAUGCAGAUUGAUGCUACAUAAUCAACUACGAAUCCCUAGAAGUACAAGUGUUACAGGAUAAAAUGUACUGACAAAAGCAAUGGGCUACACUUCUGCACUGGCAUUGUCUGUGUAUUCUACUUUUUGGUAAGAUUAAAUAUAGAUCUGAUCUUUUUUAGUAAAUGGUGGGUGAGGGAGAUAAGAUGCAGAAUGCUACACAAUGAACCAAUCCCUCUUCCCAUAAUACAAGAGUGUUUUGAACACUGGUGUACUAUACAAAACGUUCUUAUAUUAUGGGACGGAGGGAGUAGCUAUUAAUGUAAGUACAGUGAUAGACGAUGUUCAGUCCUUACAAGAGGACUGCAGAGCUAAACCUCUUCAAAACCAUUGGGUUGAUUCUAAAUUUAUGUAAGAGUCCAUACGGAUCUUAUAAUGUCCACCAAAUGGACGAUAACGAGGCUAACAUGUGCAGUGAUGCUACAUAAUCAAACAGCUAUGAAAGUAAGUAUGGUCAUAAAGGGCAAGAGGUACUCACAAGAGCAAUGCAGUGUGUAGUAUAGUUGCGAGAUUCUGUGGUCCCUUGAGAACGAAUGUUCUUCUGCUAACAGUUUUCGUACAAGUGAGACGUUAAGGAAAAUGCAGAAAUGUAGUUCAAAUUGUGAUGUGAUAUCAUACAUAGUACCUUAUGCUGCAGACGAGGCCAAUAUGUAACAAGAUUAUUCUAGUCACUAUCGGAUAAAUGUAGCACCGGAGACUUUACAGAAAUUUCGUUUAAAGGCUUGCCAUCAAAGUGCGCUUGCCUCGGAACGAUACCUCAUUAAUGAGUGCUUCAAAAGUGCAACCAACCCUUGCUCGUGUUGACAAUCCAGUUUGCUCCUCGCCUAUUUAAAAGAAUGAAAUCUUGUGUCUUCUGUCAGCAGAAACAUGUGCAGUAAUUACCAUGAAUAACAUUAGUACAUUAAUUACGUGUAAGUUGCGGAGGAAGACUGGAAAUUGUUCCGUGUCUGUGGUAUAAUCUCUCCAUGAAGGAAAGAUGCACACAAAGUUCCUGACAACAAUAUAAGAUUCGUCUUCUAAACUGGGAAGAAAUGGAACAAGGGUCCUAUUUGCUGCAAUUAGGGCUCUCUCUGGUUCGAAAAGGGAUUUGGCAACUAGAUUUGGUGUACUCUUUGCUGGAAUGGGAGUUUUGCAUCGUAGAGCUGGUGCUAUGUCAACUGGCAUCAUCAUACUAUUUGUUGCAAUUGGGGUCUGCUGAGUUGGGGCAUCAGAAAUGACCAGUGUAGUAGGACUAGAGUCUGCUAGAGUUGGGGUGUUUUGUGGAUCAGGUGAUAUUGCAACUACACCUGGGCUAUUUGAUUUAUCAGGUGUCACUACCUUUUCCAAAUACUUUGCUUGUGCUCCUCCGUGAUCAGCGAUCACCCUCUUCCUUUUGAACGUCUGAUACACAAGAACAACAUUUGAAUGGAUAAAUAUGGUAAGAUGACAAAUGGAAUAUGUACUAAAAAUGGAUAGGCAGGGCGUAUUCACAUACACAUGGUGUAAACUAAGCUAAUGGCAGUGCAACAAAGUAGAAGCAAUGCAAAGCAUCAUUUGCAAGAUAUGUGCGACCAAUAUAACCUUGGAGAGUUAGAGCAAGCACCUUGAUGGGUGAAUAAAAUAGGGCAUCUGCCUCUGACUCCUCCACUAGGGAGCUACAUUGACUUAGGUCUCCCUAUAGCUCAGAAUCACUGUUAGGAUCAUAUUCUGAGCAUGAAUCUGUAGGUGGAGAGCGUUUGCAUUGCAUUGCAUCCAGACUUGAUUUCAGUCCCUUAAUGCCAAGUUUGACAGCCAUGGCAUUGUUCUGCUUUAUUCUUUUCAUGCGCACAAGCUCAUAAUCAUUAUGAUGCUGUUUAGAAUAUGAGAUUCAUGAAAACAUAAAAAGUAGUCAGAUUAUCUAUGGAAUGCAUUGCGGAUUCAACUCGAAGAGUGUCUCCCUAUCAACCUCUGCAUAUGCAAAGUUCACCCCCCAACCGUGCUGACCAGACCACACACAGAAAUACAAACCCCUUAUGUCUCUAUAACAGGCAGACACACAUGUAAAAACUGAAGUAGGAACAUUAGAAUCAUAUUAAAUUCAUAUUUGAACAAAUAAACUAAGGAAUUAUGAGUGGCAUAAUGUUUAGCUUCAAUGGUGGAGUGUUGGCAGUGCGACACAAAGCAAGUAGGCAGAUUGUAUUCCAUGUAAAAGAUUGGAGCCUAUGUAAAAGCUGGAAAUGACACUUUCUUUCUAUACAAUGCAGUGUUCGUUGCCCACACAUGAUGGAAGAGAUCACACAGAGAAAUACUAUUCACUCAUGUCUACGGUUCCAGUAUUUUGAAACAGGGUGGUCCACCCUAAAAUAAUAUUGACAACAACUAUGACAAGGCAAGCAUAGAUGCAGUGAAUCAAUCAUUUAGUUGUGAGCUUACUAGGACAAGUAUGCAGAAUUGUAACUGCAGUAAGAGACCAUCCAAAAUCUAAAUCAAGAAGUUUGUCUAGAACUUAUUGUUUGCAACUAAUUGAUGUGAAUAAUUGGAUAUCAUAUCGAAUGAGUAAGAAAGACAAGUAAAAUUGUCAACAAACUUGGCUUGUAGUAGUAAUCUGGGUCAAUGUCACUACGACCAACAAUCCAAAAUGACUAGUGUCUGUUCCUAGGACCGGAAUUUUGGAACCCUGUGAACUUUACAGGUACUAAAGAUUACUGAAAUACAUCUGAACCAUUAAGUGUAGGUAGCACUCAGCACACAACAAACCCUAAUGACAGUCCUGCCUAAUGAGUAAUGAAUCAAUUAGAAAAUAGGUGAUGAGGAGGGGCUGCUGAGUGUUGAGGACGUAUCUCAGGAUAAAUUGGGUUGGCUUUGUGGGUGUUGCACGCGUGAGCCCUGAAUGGACUAGGAAGGUAGGCAUGGUGGCGCGCCUGGGCAGCGGUGACGCUGUUGGGCGAGAGGCUCCUGACCUCCUGUUAGUCCGGCGUCUCCUCCUUGAGUCAUGCCGUCCGGGGACAGCAGGUCGCCGGCGAGGCAGGUGGCUGGGGGCGAGUAGAGAUCGAAAGCGCGCAGCCGAACAGAGGGGAAUCGGGGCCUGGAUGACCCAAAAUCCCAGGGUGGGCCACGACCCACCAUGGGCACCCAGUAGAGAUACACACCUGAGCGGUGAACAUGCAUUUUCGAAACUAAAUUAGGAACAUUUAGCUGACCAAUUAAACGACUCUGUUUUAAUAAUAUCAGAUUCGUAUUUGAGCAACUAAGCUUGUUUAGCUUGAUGGGUGGAGCAGUGCUAUUAUGACACGAAGCACGUAUUCUGAUCAUAUAGUGAUCAUAAAAGGGGGAAACCCUAAGCAUUUUCUAGCAAAAGAGGGUUCCCCCUCCGAUUUCUAUUAAAGAAACCACCACGGAAACAACAUGAUCAAUUAAACCCUAAUCAUGAUCAAUUAUACCGUAUUCUGACUGUGCCAUGGCAGAUUUAAUGCUGCAAACCAGAGAAAUGAUAUUUAUCAUCCAUUGUUUGCUGUGAACUAAGAACUAAAUUCUAAGAGCUGAAAAGAAAGUAGAGUAACCAAGUGACGAUCUAUUUUAUGGUUGAGAUCAAAAGGUUGAGGAGAUAUGAAGUACCACCUCUCUUGCGGCACCGUGUAGGCAUCGGGGGUGCGAUGGUUGUCGGUGGCGUUGAAGCAGAUCUGUGACGGUAGACGGGUGCAUCAGGGGAUAAGUCUCGUUGCGGUAGAAGAGAAGGUCGUGUUAGCGGCCCCGGCAAAGAGGAUGACGGCACCGAUGAAGCAAGAGGAUGCGAUGCAAGGCUCUUGGUCCAUUGUUGUGGAUGAGAAACGUCCAUCUCUAGCAGUGGACGACACGGUCUUGGUAGGCGCUCCGGCAUGGUGGAGGAUGGUGGCGAUGGAUGGGGUGGAGGACGACGAUGAUGGAUGGGGUGGCGGACGGAGGAGGCUGGUGUGGGGAUGGUGUUCUAGCAUGGACGGUGUAUGAAUGGGAAAAUGGAGGGAGAGGUAUAGGGAACCAUGUUUUUUGGACGCGCCUGUCUGAAAUAUGGAAAAGUUACGAACUUAGCCCCUGUUUAAAAUUUGGACGUCUCAUCGGUUGGGGAUAGGACGGUAAUCUCACAUCUCGCCAAUAUUUGCCCAGAGCGAUUUCGGGCGAGGAGAGGGUGUUUUGGCACCCAUGGUUGGCGCCCACGGUGUAUGAACAGGGCGGUUGUGUCACGUCUGAGUGAAGUUACAAACCUGCCCCUAUUGAAAAUAUUUGCCUACAUCGUUUUCGGCCGAGUCGAGUUUGUUUUGCCGCCCACUGUGUAUGAAUGGGGAAAUGGAGGGAGAAACAGAGGUCUUUCGGGAGAGCUUGAAUCAAAUGUGUUUUGCCGUCCAUGUUUGGCACCCAUCGUGUCAGAAUGGGCUCAGAGGUGGUCGUGUCACGUCUAAUAGAAGUUACUAACCUACCCCUAUUGAGAGCAGUGGAAAUCGGGCCACGGAUUGUUUGUGCAAUGGGUAGAUAGUAAUUUCCAUCUCCCCAACACUUGGCUUCGGGCAGCCGACAUGGGAGUUGACAUUUUGCUGCUUCUUUCGAAUUUUGGGACAAUAAGCAUCCACAUUUACCCUGGCAAAUAAAUUCGAAUCCAUUUUGUAUUCCUAUACAAAUCUUUAUAAAUCAUUCUAUGUAUUUUUAUAUAUCUUCAAAAGCACAACAAAGAUGUAUUCCAUUGUCAUAUAUGAAUGGGAUUUACAAAUGCCGAUACUCAAAUUCAGAAGCUAGAAUCCAGUUUAAGGUGAAUUCGAAUAUUUGGAACACUUUAUGUCCAACUCAAAUGUCACACGCAGCAUAAUGUGUACUCCCAUUUAGAUAUGUACACAAGCGAUGUAUCAAGAUUCAAAUACCGAGUCAGUCAACCAAGAAUGUACAUAACUAACAGACAUAUAAACACUUAUAGAGUAUAUGGAUCAAUAAUAUCAACUAACAUACAUAAGCCAGGCCGCUGUACUUUUUUUGCUAGAACAUCAUCCUUUUUGUAGCGAAGCUACUACAACAUCUUGGCCCUUUCUGAUGCGUGCCACUUAUGGUCCAUCUAUACUACUAUUAUUGCUGAGUGCACAUUCAGCCCGAUUGGCAUAUUUGUAGGUCUGGCACAACAAUCAAAAUGAAAUGUCUCCAAGUCUUAUUAAUUAAUACAGACUUAUGCUCAAAUAAAAUUACAAACAAAAAAACAAAAAACAAUUAUUACAUGAUCUCUAAAACAAAUGGUCUGAUUGAUUACAUGAACAAACAACACAAAAGUUAUUCAAUUAUGGAAAGAACAUUUCACCUAUGAUUUACCAAGUGGGAAUUUAAUUUCCUUUUUUCCUUCAGGACCUUAACAAUGCGGCCAGUCUCAGCUUGCUUCAUUUUGAAAUCCACCAAAUAUAUAAUGGUUGUCUUGUGUACUGCUUGUGAUUGGGCUGUUUGCUUCCUCAACAUGUCAACUUCAUCUCUAAGUGCAGAAGCAGAAUCUCUUUCUACCACUAGUUUAGCCUCUAGAGCAUCAGCAGUUGGCAAUUCAUAAUGCACGAUUGGGCUGGUGCCACUACUGUAGGAUGAUACAACAUCCAUGGGGACCUCGCUCUUUGAUCUUGGGCUAACCUGUUUUGCCAUUGAAGUUCUGAUUGGAUUCGAAAUGUUGAAGUUAGCAAAACAUCUCAACUGGGAGUUAUAACAGCAAACCAGUUAAACAAACAAGGAAUUAAAGAGUUUCAAUUUGAUGCUGAAAAGUAGUUAUUAACAUCAUUGUAACUCGUUGUUGCAACAACAAACCAUUUAAUCAAACAGGGUAUCAAAAUGUAAAUUACACAUGAAUUCUGCUGCACCCUAGAAGUACAUAUGACCAGCUAUCUACGUGCUUAAGUAGCUAUUUAAGUUCAGGUAAACUGGUAAUUCUUAAUAGUAAGUAUCAAACACAUAGAUAGGCGCAGUCUAUAAUAGGAUUAAUAGGCAAUGGCAUUAUGUAAUCAGUAGCAAACUAAAUUAAGCCAAGCAAUGUAAUUGAACAAUUUUGCAAUAAGUGGCUAACUAAAAUUCCGAGAAGCAGGUAACUGAACUUAUGCUAGAUCUUUGUACAGGCACACUGAUAACUUCUUUUUCGCUUACAAGGUUCUUCGAAGGAGUCCAUGGCAUCAAUUGCUUGGAUACGCAGUCCCAAUACUUCUUUCUUCCCACACUGCAUUAGUAACUCGAAUGGUUAAUCUGGUAAGAUGGUGCGUCCUUGAUAUGUUAUAUGAGGAUGCGUAGUCAGACUAGUUGUAGCCACACACAUCACACUGGCUUUUACUAUAUAUUUCAUGCGAUUACAUUUGGCAUAUCGAGAUCUAAGCAAUCUACAAUAGGAUAAAAAGACUGGCAUCCUUUACAUUAUUGGCGAACUUAGUUCAUAGAGACAAGCAAUUCAACCAUUCUAUGGGUAAAUCAAAAGCGCCACUGGAAUAUUUUUCACUACCCCAAUCAUACACGCAAAAAGGGGCGAUGCCACCAUAGGGGCUGGUAUGGGCGGCCGCCUUGGGUGGCUGGAAGGUUUGCACCUAGUUUGAGUCGUCCAGGUUGGCCCAGGCUAGUUUUGUUAGUCCCAACGCACGAGCUGGAAAUGUAAAAAAUGAAGAAAAAUGUUUCAAUUUGGAUGGGACAAAUAAUGUAAGUGCAAGGCAGGCCCUAUAGCAAGCUAGCGGCCCAAACGAGCGCCUACCAUAUCGAUCGACAGCAGGAAAAAUCCCAAUCCAUUCGCUCCAGCCUCCAGUGUGGUUUGCUCCUAACCUAGCCGCCGCUGGACAGACCGACACAGCACUUCCUCGCGCCCUCGUUGGAGGGCGGUCACCGGGCUUCAAGCAAACGGAAGGACAAGAAGAUGAAGAUCCAACCCUGGGUGUAGCCUGCGUGGGAGGCAGCGGCGGCGGCACGGGCAUGGCAUCGAGCUUGCGCAAACGGACAGCCACAGCUUGCAAGAGUAGCAUGCGCAAAGAGCAGGUACAUCACAUCCCUGAUUAUAUCUAAUUCAAAUGUUCAAUUUCUGGCCAAUAGUUAAACCUGACGAUGUUGUAAAACUGCUUGUAUGUAGGGAAUCUAUGAGAAAAUGAAACCAAUUUUUGCUUAUUUUAUAACUCCCCCAAUCAAUACUGAACUGACAGAAUCUGAUGUAUCUAAUCAAGUUUCCGGUGCUAACAUACAAGCUCAUGUUGUUCUUGAGCCUGAAGUGUCUAAUGAACAGACUGCUAAUGUAGGAUUUGAUGCAGACAUUUUACAUCCUCCUGGUGAUGAACAUAUAGUGUCUAAUGAGGGAUCUAAUGCAAGCAUUUUGCAAUCUCCCACUGAAGGAUUUAGUGUGUAAUGAUGAUCUGCUAUGUUGAGAGAGACAUAGAGAUUUGCAAGCAUUGAUGACAAGCAAAUUAUAGUACAUUUUCAUGGCUUGAGGAAACGUCGAAGCCAUCUAACGAAAAGUCCCCGUCUCAUGACAACUUAGCAUGAAUACUUUUCUAAUAUGUUGUUUGAAACUAUUGGCAUACUUGUGCAGGAUAGAUAUAUUGAUAUGCAGUUUGCGCACUGGUUAUAGGUGCAAUUACACUUUGAUAUUUUCAGUCAGAGAACGAAUAAUUCAAGCAGGUACAAACCAUGUUAGUAGUCCUUGUACACCAUGUUGCAUAUUGUGUUUUUUGGUGCUUGCAUCAUUUAGUGUUUUAUAAUCUGAACUACUUUGGAUCAUUAGCUGGUUUUCAAAGUGCAUGUAGCUUCACAUUUCUCAAGUUAUGUUGAUUUCCAGAGUGCAAGUGGCUUCGUAUUUUUUAAGUUCAGUUUUCGCCCCUGGUAACUUGAAUUCAUGUAUCCGCCACUUCACACAAAUCAUACAUGCAUGCCAGUACGAAUUAAAUGAAAUGCAGGGACUUAUGCUAGCUCGUUGUACAGGCUCAUUGCAGCUCUGCUUGCGCUUGGGAUGUUCCAUGUACAAGUCCAUGUUACCACUUGCUUGGAUGUGCAAGCCUUGUGCUCCUUGCCUCCCCCUCUGCAUUUUUGACACGGCGAAUGGUUGAUCAAAUAAGAGGAAUCGACCUUGUUGUUGUAUCGGAGGACAUAUACUUACAAGGUUGUACGGGUGUGCAGGAUGUGUACCAGAUCUCGUAGCGCCGUCAUGCUUCACUAAAAAUGGUUUUGCUUGUUUCAGAUGAUAUCUCUAGAAGAAAAAUAAGAGUUAAAGUCAUAGUUGCAUAGGCAUGUAAGCUAAGAGAGUAGUGAAAGGUUAUCCAAACAUCCUUGGAACAGUGUAGAAGGGAGUGAUGUGUGGAUACCUAGUCUGGGCCGGCGUUUGGGCAUGCUGGCCUAGCUAGAGUGCGGGUAACUUUAGAGUGUUGAGGGUGAUGCGCUGGCGAUGGCUGGCCGCGCAUGGAUGCAGAUCUUGAGUGGCAGCGGAGCGCUACAUUGCGGUGGACGAGACCAUUGGUGAAGCCCCAACGACCUUGGGGGGCGGAGAUGCAACGAUGUGCUCGAUGAGGUAGCCCCGGUGAGGUGGGAGAUGGCGUCGGUGAAGUGCACCUGAUGCGGUGGAAGUCGGUGUCUGUGAGGCAUGUCGGUUGCGGCGGCCGACAUUGUCGAUGGACCACCUGGUGCGGGUGGACGAGGGCGUAGAUGAGGUAGCUCCAGUGCGGUGGUGAAGGGCGACCGUUGUCUUCGUCAUUGUCGUCCGGCACAGAGGUGGGGAAAGAGAAGAGACGAGGGGCGAUUUGAACUUUGCUUGGGUUGGCGGCGAAUUAGGGAUUUGAUCAAUCUGGGCGCGGAAGGGGACGGUGGAGAAGGGAAAUUUUGCAGGGCUGGAAUUGGGGCCGCUAGAUAUUCCAAUCCGAAACAUGUAAGCGCGAACUUAUUUUGUCAUUGUCCUUUUUGGGGCGGAGGGGGGAGGGAGGGAGGGGGUGGCUCGGUGCUAAGCGUCCGUCCGACACACAUGACCACCACGACACGACCCUGGUCUACCUAGUGCGCCUACAUUUGAGAAUGCAAACGAAUCUUCUUACAUUUGCAAACGAAUCUAUAUGCAUUACCAUGCCUGUGUUUUGCUUGCAAAUAAUUAGUUAUUCAAAAUGAGAUAUUAUAAAUUAAUCAAUGAGGAGUUAUUUGAAAAAAAAUCUAAACGGUAUCCGUGGUAUCCAUGCUAACGUGGAUUAGAGUGUGUGUCAUAUAAUUAGUUAUUUUAAUUAGAGUGUGUGUCACAUGGAGAUCUCCAAUUCUAACGUGGAUUUCGCAUUUCACAGUAUCCACGCUACUUUUUUAAUACAAAUUCAUAUGUAUAUGAUGAACACCAUGGUAGUGAGAAAACUUUUGGAUGGAUUCAAACAUAUGACCUACAAAAUAGCACAACAAUCGAGUCAAUGUCAACUUUUCCAAACCUAGUAUGGCACGAAUUCGAAAUAAUUACUCAUAUGCAUGGUCCCCAGUUCGAAUCUUACAGUGUACACCGAAUUGAAACAUCGAUAUUAAGUCUCGUACUAUCUACAUUCAAAUGUUGUUUUUAGCCCCACCCACCCCCACCCCCCCUCGGCACACACGCUACAUACUUCAUGUAUCGGUCAAUCUUCCUCUCCUAACCACCUUAGGAAGCUACCAGUUUCUGACACACAUUCAUUCUUUCUCUGCAUGUUUCGAUCUCUAACUCUCUCAACUACACAACGCCAUUUUUCCACUCUGUUACCAAAUGUAUUUACCUCGCACACCCACCAUUGCACCCCAUGCCGAGCUCUCUCUCUCCCUCUCACCCUCUUGCUCUAGAUACAUGCAUUGCCUAUCUAGCCCCCCAACCUCUCGUGCACACGCAUGCACAUUGUCUAUCUAGGUCACCCCCUUAAGACUGUCUCACUCUUUCUUCCGCACGGAGGGCCACACUCGCUCAAUCUCGCUCUCUUUAUCUGACUCUCGAUUAACCUCAUUAAAUGAUAGCGCUAGUUGGGAGACAACCCAAUUUCUUUAUGUUUUUGUUUUCGCUCCUGUUUAGUAAUAAAUCUUGCAUCUACCUUCUGUUUAGAUGUGUUUUUAUCUUUUAAUUAGUGUUUGUGCCAAGUAGAACCUAUAGGAUAACCUAUGAUGAUAGUUGAUUUGAUUCUGCUGAAAAACAGAAACUUUGCGCAAUGAAUUUAGUUUUGUUAAAUCACAGACACUAUCUUUUGCGUUGAUUCUUUUUGCUUCUAAUCAAUAAAAAAAUUUCCAGGACUUCCUAUUUUGGUAGGAUAUUUAGAGUUCCAUAAGUUUGCAUUAGUUACAGAUUGCUACAGACUGUUCUGUUUUUGACAGAUUCUGUUUUUCGUGUGUUGUUUGCUUAUUUCAAUGCAUCUAUGGCUAGUAAAUUAGUUUAUAAACCAUAGAGAAGUUGGAUUACAGUAGGUUUAACACCAAAAUAAAUAAAGAAUGAGUUCAGUACAGUACCUUAUGUGGUGGUUUUGUUUUGGGUAAAGCUUUUAUGGACUAUGGAAUAAGGAGUGUCAAGAGCCUAAGCUUGGGGAUGCCCAAUGCACCCCAAUAUAUUCAAGGAUAGCCAAAAUCCUAAGCUUGGGGAUGCCCCGGGAAGGCAUCCCCUCUUUCGUCUUCGUUCAUUGGUAACUUUACUUGGAGCUAUAUUUUUAUUCGCCACAUGAUAUGUGUUUUGCUUGGAGCAUCGUGUAUUAUAUUAGUCUUUGCUUUUUAGUUUACCACAAUCAUCCUUGCUGUACACACCUUUUGGGAGAAGCCUAUUUGAUUAGAAUUUGCUAGAAUACUCUAUGUGCUCCACUUAUAUCUUUUGAGCUUGAUAGUUUUUGCUCUAGUGCUUCACUUAUAUCUUUUAGAGCACGAUGGUGACUUAAUUUUGUAGAAAUUGCUAGUCUCUUGCUUCACUUAUAUUAUUUUGAGAGUCUUUUAGAACAUAAUGGUAUUUGCUAUGGUUAUAAAAUUGGUCCUAUAAUGGUAGGCAUCCAAGUUGGUUAUAAUAAAAACUAUCAUAGGAAGUGAAUUGGAUGCUAUGAUCAAUUUGAUACUUGAUAAUUGUUUUGAGAUAUGGAGGUAGUGAUAUUAAAGUCAUGCUAGUUGGGUGAUUAUGAAUGCUUGUGUUUAUGUUAGCAAGUCACGUAGCAUGCACGUAUGGUUAAAGUUGUGUAACAAAUUUGAAACAUGAAGUGUACCUGGCUUGUGCAUCCUUAUGAGUGGUGGUCGGGGACGAGCGAUGGUCUUUUCCUACCAAUCUAUCCCCCUAGGAGUAUGCGCAUAGUGCUUGAUUUUUGAUGACUUCUAAAUUUUUGCAAUAAGUAUAUGAGUUCUUUUGACUAAUGUUGAGUCCAUGGAUUAUACACACUUUUACAUUUCCGCCAUUGCUAGCCUCUUCGGUACCGUGCAUUGCCUUUCUCACCUUGAGUUGGUGCAAACUUCGCCGGUGCAGCCAAACCCCGUGAUACAAUACGCUCUAUCAUACAUAAACCACCUUAUAUCUUCCUCAAAACAGCCACCAUACCUACGUAUUAUGUCAUUUCCAUAGCCAUUCCGAGAUAUAUAUCCAUGCAACUUUCCACCGUUCCCUUCAUCAUCUUCAUGACUUACAUUACUUUUGUCAUAUUGCCAUUGCAUGAUCAUGUAGUUGACAUCGUAUUUGUGGCAAAGCCACCAUGCAUUAUUUUUCAUACAUAUCACUCUUGAUUCAUUGCACCAUCCCGGUACACCGCCGGAGGCAUUCAUAUAGAGUCAUAUCUUGUUCUAGUUUCGAGUUAUAAUUUAUAUGUUGUAAUCAAUAGAAGUGUGAUGAUCAUCAUUAUUACAGCAUUGCCCAAAGAAAAAAAAGGAAAGAAAAGAAGAAAGGCCCAGAAAAAAGGCCCAAAAGAAGAAAAAAAAAGAAAAAAAAGAAACUAAAUAAAAAGGGCAAUGUUACUAUCUCUUUUUUCACACUUGUGCUUCAAAGUAGCACCUUGUUCUUCAUGUAGUGAGUCUCAUAUAUUGUGCUUCAAAGUAGCACCAUGUUUUUCAUAUAGUGAGUCUCAUAAGUUGUCUUUUUCAUACUAGUGGGAAUUUUUCAUUAUAGAACUUGGCUUGUAUAUUCCUACGAUGGGCCUCCUCAAAUGCCAUAGGUCUUCGUGAGCAAGCAAGUUGGAUGCACACCCACUAGUUUUCUUUUGUUGAGCAUCAUUUAUAGCUCUAGUGCAUUCGUUGCAUGGCAAUCCCUACUCCUCAUGUUGACAUCAAUUGAUGGGCAUCUCCAUAGCCCGUUGAUUAUCCUCGUCAAUGUGAGACUUUCUCUUUUUUUGUCUUCUCCACACAAUCCCCAUCAUCAUAUUCUAUUCCACCCAUAGUGCUAUAUCCAUGGCUCACGCUCAUGUAUUGCGUGAAGGUUGAAAAAGUUUGAGAUUAUUUAAGUAUAAAACAAUUGCUUGGCUUGUCAUCGGGGGUAUAGAAGUUGGGAACAUCUUUGUGUGAUGAAAAUGAAGCUUAGCCUAACUAUAUGAUUUUGUAGGGAUGAACUUUCUUUUGCCAUGUUAUUUUGAGAAGACAUGAUUACUUUGAUUAGUAUGCUUAAAGUGUUACUAUUUCCUUUAUCAAUAUGAACUUUUAUUUUGAAUCAUUUGGAUCUGAACAUUCAUGCCACAAUAAAGAAAAUUACAUUAAGAAUUAUGCUAGGUAGCAUUCCAUAUCAAAAAUUCUCUUUUUAUCAUUUACCUACUUGAGGACGAGCAGGAAUUAAGCUUGGAGAUGCUUGAUACGUCUCCAACAUAUCUAUAAUUUUUUAUUGUUCCAUGCUAUUAUAUUGCCCCUUUUGGAUGUUUAUGGGCUUUAUUUUACACAUUUAUAUCGUUUUUGGGACUAACCUACUAACCGAAGGCCCAGCCCGUAUUGCUGUUUUUUUUGCCUAUUUCAGUAUUUCAAAGAAAAGGAAUAUCAAACAGAGUCCAAACGGAAUGAAACCUUCGGGAGCGUGAUUUUUGGAACGAACGUGAUCCAGAGGACUUGGAGUGCAAGUCAAGAAGCAGCCGAGGCCUCCACGAGAUAGGAGGGCACCCCCCUAUAGGGCGCACCCCCUGUCUCGUGGGCCCCUCGGGCGUCCACCGACGUACUUCUUCCUCCUAUAUAAGCCUACGUACCCCGAAAACAUCCAAGGAGCCAACGAAACACAAUUUCCACCGUCGUAACCUUCUGUAUCCGUGAGAUCUCAUCUUGGAGCCUUCGCUGGCUAUCUGUCGGAGGGGGAAUCGACCAUGGAGGGCUUCUACAUCAACAUCCUUGCCCCUCCGAUGAGUUGUGAGUAGUUUACCACAGACCUACGGGUCCAUAGUUAUUAGCUAGAUGGCUUCUUCUCUCUUUUUGGAUCUCAAUACAAUGUUCUCCCCCUCUCUUGUGGAGAUCUAUUCGAUGUAAACUCUUUUUGCGGUGUGUUUGCCGAGAUUCGAUGAAUUGUGGGUUUAUGAUCAAGUUUAUCUAUGAAUAAUAUUUGAAUCUUCUCUGAAUUCUUUUAUGUAUGAUUGAGUUAUCUUUGCAAGUCUCUUCGAAUUAUCAGUUUGGUUUGGCCUACUAGAUUGAUCUUUCUUGCCAUGGGAGAAGUGCUUAGCUUUGGGUUCAAUCUUGCGGUGUCCUUACCCAGUGACAGAAAGGGUUGCAAGGCACGUAUUGUAUUGUUGCCAUCGAGGAUAACAAGAUGGGGUUUAUAUCAUAUUGCUUGAGUUUAUCCCUCUACAUCAUGCGAUCUUGCUUAAAGCGUUACUCUGUUCUUAUGAACUUAAUACUCUAGAUGCAGACAGGAGUCAGUCGAUGUAUGGAGUAAUUGUAGUAGAUGCAGGCAGGAGUCGGUCAAGUUGUUGCGGACGUGAUGCCUAUAUACAUGAUCAUGCCUACAUAAUCUCAUAAUUAUUCGCUUUUCUAUCAAUUGCUCGACAGUAAUUUGUUCACCCACCGUAAUACUUAUGCUAUCUUGAGGGAAGCCACUAGUGAAACCUAUGGCCCCCGGGUCUAUCUCUUAUCAUAUUUGCUUCCAAUCUACUUUUAUUUACAUCUUUACUUUUUGCAUCUAUAUUAUAAAAUACCAAAAAUAUAUUUAUCUUAUCAUACUAUCUUUAUUAGAUCUCACUUUCGCAAGUGGCCGUGAAGGGAUUGACAACCCCUUUAUUGUGUUGGUUGCGAGUUCUUUGUGUGUUUGUGUAGGUGCGUGGGACUUUUGAGGAGCCUCCUACUGGAUUGAUACCUUGGUUCUCAAAAACUGAGGGAAAUACCUACGCUACUAUUGCUGCAUCACCCUUUCCUCUUCAAGGAAAACCAACGCAAGCUCAAGACAUAGCAGGUUGCUUAACAUAGACUUCCUCCUCUAUUUCACCAUUUAGAAAAGCACUUUUAAUGUCCAUUUGGUACAAGGUGAUAUCAUGGUGAUUAGCAUAGGCAAGUAAGAUGCGAAUGGACUCAAGUCUAGCAACGGGGGAAUAUGUCUCACCAUAGUCCAUAACUUCGACUUGAGUGUAGCCUUGGGCGACGAGACGUGCUUUGUUGCGAACUACUUGUCCAUCUUCAUCUUGCUUGUUGCGAAACACCCAUUUUGUACCGAUGAUGUUGUGGUUGUUGUUGGGCUUCUCAACCAAUGUCCACACUUGGUUUCUCUCAAAGUUGUGAAGUUCUUCGUGCAUGGCGUUUAUCCAAUCUAGAUCUUCCAAUGCUUCUUCAACCUUCAUAGGUUCAAUGCUAGAGAUGAAUGAAUAAUGUUCACAAAAGUUAGCUAAACGAGUUUUAGAGUGAGUGAUUCUCCCGGUUUGGAUAUCAUUGUAGAUUUGCUCGACGGGAUGGUCUUUGGAAACUCUUGCUCGAACUCGUGAAAGCUUUUGCUUGGAUCUUGGUGGAACAUCGUCUUCAUCUUGUUCUUCUUCUUGGCCUUCUUCAUUGUUGACGUUGUUGUUCUCUUGUCAUGGUGGAGAAGGAGGUUUUUGAAGUUCAUCUUGGUGUACUUCCUCGUUUUCUUCAUCUUGGUGUGUCCCACUUGUGGAUGCUUCCGUAUCAACUCUUGGUUCACCUUGUCGUGAGGUAGAAGCUUCCACUUGGACGGACGAGGUACUCUCCUUCACCUCCGUUGGACGAAUCUUCCCAAUAGACAAGUCUUGGAUUGCUUCUGAAGGGUCUUUGUCCCCUACAUAAAUUGGCAAUUUCUCUACUUGCAACCCGUUAGAUUCAUCAAACUUCACAUCUACCGUCUCUUCAACCUUUUGGGUGAAAUUAUUGUAGACACGGUAAGUGUGAGAAUUUGAGCCAUAACCAAGUAGGAAACCUUCAUGAGACUUAGGAGCAAAUUUAGAAUGAUGAUGCUUAUCAAGAAUGUAGCACUUUGAGCCGAAUACUCGAAAGUAUCCAACUUGGGGUUUGCUACCGGUGAGGAGCUCGUAUGCCGUCUUGCCGAGUAGCUUGUGAAGAUACAAGCGAUUUGUUGGAUGACAAGCUGUCUCAACCGCUUCUGCCCAAAAGUGCUUUGGCGUCUUGUACUCAUCAAGCAUCAUUCUCGCCAUUUUGAUGAGUGUCCGGUUCUUCCUCUCAAUAACUCCAUUUUAUUGAGGUGUGUACGUAGCCGAGAACUCAUGUGAAAUCCCUUCUUCGUCAAGAAAGGUGUCCACAUUUGCGUUCUUGAACUCCAUUCCGUUCUCGCUGCGAACCUUCUUGAUCUUCACUUCGAAUUGAUUUUGGGCCUUCCUGGCGAAGUUUUUGAAGAUCUUUUGGACCUGCGAUUUAUCAUCGAGAAAUAACACCCACAUAAAUCUUGAAAAAUCAUCAACUAUAACUAGACCAAAAGAAUUUCCACCGAGACUUUUGUAAGCGUUGGGACCAAAAAGAUCCAUGUGAAGUAGCUCGAGUGGCCUCCUUGUGGUCAUGAUAUUUUUCACGAGAUGCCUUCCUCCAACCUGUUUACAUUCCUGACAAGCGCUGCAAAGUCUAUCCUUAUCAAAUAUGACAUCUUUAACACCAAGGAUAUGAUUUCCUUUAAUAAGCUUAUCAAGGUUUCGCAUGCUCACAUGACCAAGUCGUCUAUGCCACAACCAGCCUUUAGAGGAUUUAGCAAUAAAGCAAGUCCUAGGUUGAGCCUUUUUAGUGAAAUCAACAAUGUAAAGAUCACCUCUACGUAUACCGUUAAAGACCAUUUUAUGAUUAUCUCUACGAAACACUUGGCAAUCUACUUCAGUGAAUAGGACAUUGAAACGAAAAUCAGCAAGUCUAGACACUGAAAGUAAAUUGUAUCCAAGAGAUUCAAUGAGCAUGACAUUUUGUAUGGAGCUAUCAUGUGAGAUGGCCACCUUACCAAGGCCAACCACCUUACCCUUUGAGUUAUCACCGAAUGUGACAUACUUUCGAGGGCCAUCAUUUUCAGCAAGCUCAUGAAACAUAUCUUUAUCUCCGGUCAUGUGAUCGGUACAUCCACUAUCAAGAACCCAUUCCUUUCCUCCUGCCAUAUAUCCCCGAAGAUUUGCGAUAAGACCAAAGUGUCUCAUUGCAUCAUCAAGAUCAAAGUCACUAUCAUCAUCCUCAUCAUAGUAUCCAUGUUCAACAUUGUCAUGUGGUGGAUCAAAUCCUAGAGAGGGUGAUUCGUUAGAGUGAGCUUGACGAUGAUCUUCUUUAUGAAUUUAAUAGCUUAGGAAAUAAUAUCACUAAUAAUUCCAACAUCUACUUUGGCACGCAUAAGGUUUGUAAGCUCAAAUAGACAAUCACCAAACAUAGGAUCAUUGGAAUUCAUUAUACUCAAGGCAAUAGACUUAUGGAGAAUUUCAUCUAGAUUUUUCAAGGAAUAAUUUGGAAAACGUUCCUCAAGAAAUUUCCAUAGUGUAGGCACACUCAAGAGUAGGCAAACAUCCAAUCAAGUUUCUAGGCAAGCCUCUAGUGAUAAGAUUAACAGUUCUAAGAUUGCGAAUCAUGUCAAUUGACUCAUCAAGGGUAGGAUGCAUAGGAUCAACAUGAGGUGCACAAGGGCUAGCAAUGUACUUGUUCAAAUGAUACUCAUUGAAAAUCACAAGCAUCUCAUUUUUCCACUCAUGAAAGUACUCCCCAUCGAGUAUAGGCAUUCUAUGUCUAAGACUCUCCAAAGUAGACUCAUCCAUCUUCCUCCAAUGGCGUUUAAACCAAGGAAAUGGAGACAAAAGCUCUGAUACCAAUUGAAAGGAUCGAGAAGAGGUGUCUAGAGGGGGGUGAUUAAACACUAAGUGAGAAAACUUGAAGUUUUUAAUUUCUUUUAGUUUAAGUGGAGUUUUGGCACAAGUUUAACAAUCACAAUACAUAACAAGCAAGCAUGCCAACAGUAUAUGAGCAGCGGAAAGUAAAGCAUGCAACUUGCAAGAAUGUAAAGGGAUGGGAUUGGAGUGUGCAAAAGCAAUUGGAGACACGGAUGUUUUUGUCGUGGUUCCGAUAGGUGGUACUAUCGUACAUCCACGUUGAUGGAGACUUCAACCCACGAAGGGUAAUGGCUGCGUGAGUCCAUGGAGGGCUCCACCCACGAAGGGUCCACGAAGAAGCAACCUUGUCUAUCCCACCAUGGUCGUCGCCCACGAAGGACUUGCCUCACUAGGGUCGAUCUUCACGAAAUAGGCGAUCUCCUUGCCCUUACAAACUCCUUGGUUCAACUCCACAAUCUUGUCGGAGGCUCCCAAGUGACACCUAGACAAUCUAGGAGACACCACUCUCCAAGAAGUAACAAAUGGUGUGUUGAUGAUGAACUCCUUGCACUUGUGCUUAAAAUGAUAGUCUCCCCCAACACUCAACUCUUUCUCACAUGAUUUGGAUUUGGUGGAAAGAAGAUUUGAGUGGAAAGCAACUUGGGGAAGGCUAGAGAUGAAGAUUCAUAUGGUAGGAAUGGAAUAUCUUGGUCUCAACACAUGAGUAGGUGGUUCUCUCUCAGAAAAUGAAUGCUGGAAGUGUAGGCACGUUCUGAUAGCUAUCUCCACGAAUGAAGAGUGGGUGGAGUGGUAUAUAUAGCCUCCACACAAAAUCUAACCGUUACACACAACUUACCAAUCUCGGUGGGACCGAAUCGUCGAACUCGGUCGGACCAUUUUAGCAAAUAAUUUGACCGUUAGGAUUUUCAGUGGGACUGACAUGCAACUCGGUAGGACCGAUAUGGUUAGGGUUAGGGCAUAACGUAAUCUCGGUGAGACCAAUUACACAAACUCGGUGAGACCGAUUUUGGUAAUGGACACACAAAGGGUUGGUUAGGCAAACUCGGUGGGACCUAUUCGCUCAUCUCGGUUGGACCGAAAUGUUAUGAAGAGGAACAGAGAGUUUGCAUUGUAAUUUCGGUAGGACCGAUUAAACAAACUCGGUUGGACCAAUUUUGGUAAUGGAUACAUACAGAGAGAUUACAAUCCCAUCUCGGUGAGACCGAGAUCCCUAUCGGUGAGACCGAUUUGCCUAGGGUUUGUGGCAGUGGCUAUGACAUCUGAACUUGGUGGCACCGGAUAGAAAGAAUCGGUGUGGCCGAGUUAUACUUUUGGUUUGGGUCAUAUGUGGAUAUGAGAAAGUAGUUGAGGUCUUUGGAGCAUAUCACUAAGCAUUUUGAGCAAGAGCCUCAUUAAGCAACACCUCAUCCCCUCUUGAUAGUAUUGGCUUUUCCUAUAGACUCAAUGUGAUCUUGGAUCACUAAAAUAGAAAAUGCAAAGUCUUGUGCUUGGAGCUUGAGCCAAUCCUUUGUCCUUAGCAUCUUUAAGGGGUUCCACAUCCUCUAGUCCAUGCCACUUCAUUGUUGAACUUAUCUGAAACAUACUAGGUAAAAGUAUUAGUCCAACAAGAGAUAUGUUGACAUUAAUAACCAAAAUCACCCAGGGAGCACCUGUGCUUUCAUUAUGCCGCUGUCAUUUUUGUUCGUAAACUUGCAAAAUACGUGUAACUCGUGUCAUUACUUGUCUAACUGCACAAAGUGUUUCUUCAAAAAAAAACAUCCUACACUGAAAUAUCGGAACAACACACGGGGGUCCCACUUGUCAUUAAUCAAAGUUGGACCUAAAAGUAACAAAUCUGAAAGAUGAGAUCUGAAUUGGCAACCUGGACUACAAAGCGUAAGUCGAUAGCUUGAAACAACAACGGUUGUUGGCUUUGUCCCAUAACUUGAUUUUAUACAGUAUUACAUUGAGUAAAGUAGAGGGAGUGCCUCGUCAACACGUGCAUGACCGUUGACUCACUUACUGGUGGGUCCCAAGUCUGUGAUCUCUCUCUCCUCUCUAUCGUAUAAACUUUAGACGCACAGGCACACACGAAGAGUGGAGCUAGCUUGCCAUGGUGUUAUUAUAACUAAAAAUAGCUUGGAAAAUAGAAGAAUCACCUAGAACAAGAGACGUUGUGGCUGGUCAAGAUGGAGCUAACCACACCUAUCCUCCGUGCCACGUUAGCAUGAUGAAGCUGUGUGGCUCGUGGGGUGUUUUAGACCGAUUGGCUGGGUCCCGAGGUCGAACCAUAGGUACUACGUCUGAUAUAGUAUAUUUUUACACACACAUUUUUCCUCCAUGCCGAGAUGUGGCACACCCUACCGCGCGGUUUGGGGGUCCUCCUGGGUGGUGCACUCAUAUAUUCCUCCUUGCCGAGACGUGGGACGCCCUACCACGCGUUUUCUGGGUCCUCCUUGGUCGUAGCGCUGAAUUAAGUAAAUGAGUCAUCAAAUCACGAAAGACCACCUUUCCCGCCGAGUACAUCAGCGAAGCACGGUGGCUAGCUAGUUGGGCUAGUGCUACCGAUUAGCUAGGCCACCGCCACUUUGUUUUUCACCCCUUUUUUAUCUCCUUGCUGGUAGGUAAAUUUAAAUAUCCACCGCGGCGUUGCUCUGGUGUUUGGGUGCGACAGGAUUUUUAAUUUUUUGAUUGACGGGAGCAGGUGCGACAGUAUUUUUAAUUUUUUCGAUUGACGGGAGCAGGCUCAGCAGCAAUUAGUCACGACGACUCCGCCUGUAAAACCCACUGCUCCCUGAUGUAAGAAGUCAUCGACUGGUAUUUUCCCAUGGUGAAAACCAAAAGAUUUCCCGCUCCUCGGCUGGCUCCCUCCGCCUUCCCAUAGAUUGCAUUGCCUUUCAGCCGUUUCGCCCCCUUUGCUUCCUCUCCCCAUUGCUUCUACCUGGUGCCAUGGCGGUGCAGCAGAUCACGGAGUCUGAGGUGAGGCGCCUGACGCAGGAGCUCCAGGACAAGGAUGCGGAGCUUAGGGCCAAGGACGUGGAGCUCCAUGAGCUCAAGGAGGAGAGGAGUGCCAUGCUCCUCUGUUAUGUGCAGGAGUUCAUGGAGCUUCAAAAGCAGCAGGCGUCCACCACAAAGAUGUUUGAGGCAUCGGCGGCGUUGCUGCAGAAAGCGGGAGAUACGAUAGGCCGUCAGGGGAGCCGGCUGGAGCGCGAGUGGGCAGAUCGUGACGAGGUCCAGUCGUCUCAGCCACUUGGUGGACCAAGUUGCCACACACAUGUUGCGGCUGCGUGAUGCCUACUGUCGUGCCAGCGCAACCAUGCUGGCCGUCGGGCUAAACUCGUUCGACCACCCUAUUGACUUCAACGAGUUGCAGCUUCCUGACCUGGUCUCGUUCUUCACCUAUAUCUUCGAGGAGUUGAGCCAUCUCCGCACGGUGGUGGGGGCGGAGCUGGACAAGGAGGGGUUGCGGGCUGCCGUUGCCAUUUCCUGGUGAAUCCUCUCAGGGCUCCGUCACCGGAAUUCAUUCAUGCCAAUUCACAUCGUCUUUGAUGAGCUGGCUCCCGUUGACCGGGAGAGGGCUUUGCGGGCGGUUGCACCCUACAUCACCAACGUCGUGCGCGUCGAGAAGCAGAGGGACUUCGGUGGUGUUUAGGCGCCCUCUUCAUGGGCAUGUCCAUGUCUCGGCGCAACAUGACCGUUGGAUCAAACUCAGACGAUGCAGAUUAGUCACUGUAGCACAAAGCAUGUGUGUGUGUCUGGUUGCAUUCUUAUCUCAAUAUAGUUGUUCCCUCUUCGUGUAUUUGUGUUAACCUACUAGUGUGGACUCAUGCACCCUUCAUGCACUUUGCCAAACACCCAAAAGUGGGUCGAGAAGGGAACUUUUGCUCCCAUCCCGUGCACCCUUCAUACACCCUGCCUAACACUGAUUCUGCUUCAUAUGGUUCAUGUUUCGUGGAGUACUGUAGCACCAUACUCUCCGUGCGUUGUAAACCUAGUUCUGUUAAUAUUAAUCUCACCGUUCAUUCUCGAUCGGACAGUCGAAAAGGUGGUACUAUGUUACUACAUUACUGUUCAUAUAGUUGACAUGCGCCAACAUCAUUUGUUAUCGUCAUAUCUUACUACACUAGCAACUAGAUUAUGUAGUACUGGCGUAUGAACCACUACACAUGCUUAGUAUUAGGAGCACUGUGUAUGUUCAAGUGGCUAUCGGGUUUCGCACUCCUCCAUCAUAAGAUUGGAAACGCUUGCUGUAAUCAUUUUUUUCUUCGGAAAAACAGUGGACAUGCUCUACCAUGCGGAUCCUCCUCCACGGUCGUCGGGAACCUUGCUACCCACUUUCGCUGAUGUGUGGGACAGCCAACAUCAGGGUCCGCCAGCCAUGCACUAAAUUACUCCGUAGUAGAGUGCCCAACUGCAUGGUAGACUACACCGAUUGAAGCAUCGCAGUAAUGCCCAAUUAGCCGUCAAAUCACAAAACCCCCUCCUUUCCAGAAGUUAGUUGGACGGAUGAAGCAACCAUCAUUUCACUCUUCUGUCUCGGAUUCCUCUCUUGAAGAAAAACCCCACUCGCUUCUCCCUCAUCUCGUUCCUCAUUUCUUCAAGAAAACCCGGACCUGCUUCUAUCAUUGUUCUUCUCUCCCAAAGAAGGAAAGGUGAGUGCAUCAAUGGUGUUGAUUCUGGCCAAGGCCCGGUCUUGCAACCCCGAGACUGAUCCUAUAACUCCCUCUCUGUUCUUCUUUUGGGUUUGUGAUUAUGGUUUCUUUUCUUUUAUUUCUAUUUGACAGUUUCUUUUUUUGGGUUGGAGAUGAAUUAGAACCGGGACCGCGGUGGAGAUGAAGUUCUCAAAGUCAUGUCGUGUGAACUAGAAGACCUGAGGAUGAGUUCUACUACUAAACUAUCCAGCUAAUGUGUCCUUGUCGCCACGUGUCCUGAACUAGUGUUUUCCUGUAGCAUUAUUGUCAGGCAUGUUCUCGAGGCUAUACUUGACCACAACAAUUUCCUGGCUGUGCCUUCGAUUAUGAAGGGUGUGGUUCUUGUAAAGCUUCCCGACAAAUCUGAUGCGGCUUGUCUUCAUCAUCAUGUUUAUGAGUUGGAAGACCACUCUAUUAGGUUCUCCAAGGUUGACGAGAUGGUGAUGGUGCAGGUAGACAUCUCUCACAAAGUCCAUGGCCUAGUCAGUUAUGCGGGGUUCAUCCCGUAGGUUGGUGGCAAGAAAUAGUGUGCAGAGUUUAAUUAGUGCAACUUUGCUUGUCUAUAGUAAGUACUAUUGUUAAGUACUUAAUUUGUGUUUGUGAACCCUGUAUUGUUUAGUACUGCCGCUUUUGGUGUGUGGUGAGUCCUGAGAAUAGUCUAUGUUAAUGUAUGUCCACUCAAUUCGGUCUGUAUAUUUUGAAGUAUCCAGAUCAUCCUUUUUGUGAGGACGGUUUAUCAAUUAUGGUUCCACUCCAAUAUCUGUAUGCAUUGCAGGGUUUAUCGCACCCUCCAGGAUUUCCAGUCCCAUGGAUGUUUGGUCCAUACGAUUUGUCACGACCUUUGGACUGUCCUGGUUGUGGGAGUAGGCGGGGGCCCUGCAUGCCAUGCGUAGUUGGACGAUCAAUCUUCUGUUUAGUACUUCAACAUAGUGAUUUCCUGGUAAGGAUUCACUCGUGUCACAUCAAGUAAAUCUUAUUGAUUUAAUGCCAUGUUUUCUUUCUUUUCCUGUAAUUUUACAAUGCUGGUUUUGCCAUGUGACAUUCAUCACAAUAUAACUGUUUGGUUUGCUCUACGAUGGCUAUUUUUGCAGGUUUCACUUCUUAUGUCGUGCCAGUAACAAAGGCACAGUCCAUCACUUAUAUUACUGGAAAAAAUUGGAUCAGUCUGUUGUCUGAGUACAAGCUGAAUCCCUAUGAUGAACUCCAGUUUGGUUUAACAAACACGCCACAAUUAGUCCUUCUUGCAUUUAAAAGAAAUGAAGAAAAAAAUGGAUCAUGGUCACGGAGCCUGGUCAAGUUAGAAAGCUGAUCAUAGCAGACUAGACACGAUCGUCGCUGUCUCGCACAUCGGUACCACCUUCAGCAACGGAUCGAGCACCGACAGUUGCUCUAGCACUGAUAGCGGCAACAGCUCAGUCUGAUCCAGCUAAGGAUUAGGCAUCGACCGCGUCAACAGAUCAAGCUGAUCUACCGGAGGAUCGGGCAUCGACACCGGCACCUGCUCCGACACCGGCACCAGCUCUACAAGGAGCACCAUCUCCGACAGCAGCAGCGGCACUACUAGUCGCACCGGCACGGGCACCAGCAACGGCUUCGGCAUGUGCACCAACACUUGCACUUGCAUCUGCUCCGGCCCGUGCAGCGGCAACCGAACGAGAAGUUGCACCGACAACAGACUGGGCCGCAGUUCGCACUUCAUAUACCAAAGUCCUUACAAAAACCGACGUCCACCUUCUUGGUAAGCAUUGGCCGCCCAUGUGCUUUGUUCUUUUUUCUUUCCAUGUUGUUUCACAUGAUUCACUGUGUUGAUCUAACUGUUUGUGUAUGUCUUCUUGUUUGCAAACAGAGAAUUCCUAGAGCAACAAGGGAGUCGUUCAACAAUCCGGGCGACCGUGGCCAAGUUUCUCUUACCAUGCGCAGCCUUGGUGUGAAUGAACCUGCUCAAUAUACCGUAAGUACAAAGGAUGGUCGCAUGAUGAUUGAUGCUAAAGGAUGGUCAAGGUUCAAAUCUAAAUCAUAUCUCGCUGUAGGGGAUGAUGUCAAAAUCGAACUUUCUCGGGAAGGAGAGCUGGUCCAAAUCAACUUCUGAAAUUCUUCAGUAGCAGCACGCAACUGCCGAACUGAUCUAUCCUCCGAGAGAUUUUGAUGUAAUAAUCUGGCAUGAUGAAACAAGUGUCCUGUGUGUAUAAGUAGUACAGUAUUAUUUAUCACAUGGUAUAUCGUUGAUAGAAUUGCAACUCUUAUUGUUGGUUAGGAACAGUCUUUCGAUUUCAUUCCAACAGCUGCCGUGCUUUAUUCAAUUUUGUGUAUUCGCCUUGCGAGAGCAUCUAAAACCAGUGUCGUACCGAGUCUUGCGAUAUGAAAAGCGCUGAGGUAGAACACAUGGCCCCCCAAACAUGCAAGCCCACCGGACUGUGGCCCAAUGUCCGGAACCGUGAGCUUGUCUGAGUAUUAUAUUCUCAGCUGAACCCCCAUAAUGCCCGUGCAUUGCACGUGACAUCAAGAUGCAUUUGUAUGAGUAUUUUAUCCUGUGAGAGAAAAGAAUGAACGAGGGAAGGCCUUAUUUGCAAAUGUGGAGAGGUGUGUGGGUACCUUUUUGCAAAAUUGCCAUAGUUUCCUUCCUAUCCGUUAGAUAUAAAUCGGACGACCUAUAUUGCAGGAUGGCAGGCACACCAUCAUCACCAACUCGUCUAUACUGUGUUAACAAAAUUCUGUUUUUUAUAAUCAUAUAUGUUAUAUAUAUUCCCCUUAAUUUUUCUUAUGAAUAAAGUUGUGAUAUAAAAUAUUUUUAUAUUUCUUUACAGAGGGAGUAUCUCUUUGUCAAAAAUAUAUUUAUGUGUAACUAGUUACUCCUGUCUUUCUACUUCCUUUCGCUGAUAUGUGGGCAUCCGGCAACAGGGUCCACGUGCCAUAUGCACCAAAUUAGAGUGCACAACUGCACGAUAGACACACCUCGGUCGUAGCGCCACAGUAAUGAACAAUGAGCCGUCAAAUCAAAAAAAACCCACCUUUCCAGCUUUAGCAAUAAUCUAGACGGACAAAGUGGCAAUAUUUCACUGGGCCUGAAUCCCCUUCUCCCUCGUCUGCUUGUUCAAAGAAAACCCCCUCUUGGCGAUUGCAUAGAGUUUUCUCAUGGAGAAUGAUGUCUACUAGACAACCUUCUUCUUGUAGACGUUGUUGGGCCUCCAAGUGUAGAGGUUUGUAGGAUAGUAGCAAAUUUCCCUCAAGUGGAUGCCCUAAGGUUUAUUAAUCCGUGGGAGGCGUAGGAUGAAGAUGGUCUCUCUCAAACAACCGUACAACCAAAUAACAAAGAGUUUCUUGUGUCCGCAACACACCCAAUAAAAUGGUAAAUUGUAUAGGUGCAAUAGUUCGGCGAAGAGAUGGUGAUACAAGUGCAAUAUGGAUGGUAGAUAUAGGUUUUUGUAAUCUGAAAUUAUAAAACAGCAAGGUAACAAGUAAUAAAAGUGAUCACACACAGUAUUGCAAUGCUUCGAAACAAGGCCUAGGGUUCAUACUUUCACUAGUGCAAGUUCUCUCAACACUAAUAACAUAAUUGGAUCAUAUAACUACCCCUCAACAUGCAACAAAGAGUCGCUCCAAAGUCACUAAUAGCGGAGAACAAACGAAGAGAUUAUUGUAGGGUACGAAACCACCUCAAAGUUAUUUUUUCCGAUCAAUCCAUUGGCCUAUUCCAAUACAUGUCAAAAAUAGCCCUAGAGUUCAUAGUAAAAUAACACCUUAAGACACGCAUCAACCAAAACCCUAAUGUCACCUAGAUACUCCAAUGUCACCACAAGUAUCCGCGGGUAUGAUGAUACGAUAUGCAUCACACAUUCUCAGAUUCAUCUAUUCAAACCAACACAAAGAACUUCAUAGAGUGCCCCAAAGUUUCUACCGAAGAGUCAAGACGAAAACGUGUGCCAACCCCUAUGCAUAGAUUCCCAAGGCCACGGAACCCGCAAGUUGAUCACCAAAACAUACAUCAAGUGAUUCAAUAGAAUACCCCAUUGUCACCACGGGUAUCCCACGCAAGACAUACAUCAAGUGUUCUCAAAUCCUUAAAAACUCAAUCCGAUGAGAUAACUUCAAAGGGAAAACUCAAUCCAUUACAAGAAGGUAGAGGGGGAGAAACAUCAUAAGAUCCAACUAUAAUAGCAAAGCUCGCGGUACAUCAAGAUCAUGCCAAAUCAAGAACACGAGAGAGAGAGAGAUCAAACACAUAGCUACUGUUACAUACCCUCAGCCUCGAGAGUGAACUACUCCCUCCUCGUCAUGGAGAGCGCCGGGAUGAUGAAGAUGGCCACUGGUGAUGGAUCCCCCCCUCCGGCAGGGUGCCGGAACAGGGUCCCGAUUGGUUUUUGGUGGCUACAGAGGCUUGCGGUGGCGGAACUCCCAAUCUAGGUUUAUUUCUGGGGUUUUCUGUAUUUAUAGGAAGUUUUGGCAUCGGUCUCACAUUAGGGGGGGGGGGGUCUCCGAGUCAUCCACGAGAUAGGGGGGCGCACCCUCCACUCUUGUGGAUGGCUCGGGACUCUUCUGGCCCAACUCUUUUACUCCAAGGGCUUCUUUUGGUCAAUAAAAAACCCACAAAAAUUGGCUUGUCAAUUGGACUCUGUUUGGUAUUCCUUUCCUGUAAAACUCAAAAACAAGGAAAAAAAACAGAAACUGGCACUGGGCUCUAGGUUAAUAGGCUAGUCCCAAAAAUCAUGUAAAAUAGCGUAUAAAUGCAUAUAAAACAUCCAAGUUGGAUUAUAUAAUAGCAUGGAACAAUAAAAAAUUAUAGAUACAUUGGAGACGUAUCAAGCAUCCCCAAGCUUAAUUCCUGCUCGCCCUCGAGUAGGUAAAUGAUAAAAACAGAAUUUUGAUGUGGAAUGCUACCUAACAUAUUUAUCAAUGUAAUGUUCUCUAUUGUGGCAAGAAUAUUCAGAUCCAUAAGACUCAAAACAAAAGUUUAAUAUUGACAUGAAAACAAUAAUACUUCAAGUAUACUAACAAAGCAAUCAUGUCUUCUCAAAAUAACAUGGCCAAAGAAAGCUAUCCCUACAAAAUCAUAUAGUCUGGCUAUGCGCUAUCUUUAUCACAUAAAAUAUUUAAAUCAUGCACAACUCCGGUGACAAGCCAAGCAAUUGUUUCAUACUUUUGAUGUUCUCAAACCUUUUGAUCUUUCACGCAAUACAUGAGCGUGAGCCAUGGAUAUAGCACUAUAGGUGGAAUAGAAUGGUGGUUGUGGAUAAGACAAAAAGAAGGAGAUUGUCUCACAUCAACUAGGCGUAUCAACAGGCUAUGGAGAUGCCCAUCAAUAGAUAUCAAUGUGAGUGAGUAGGGAUUGCCAUGCAACGGAUGCACUAGAGCUACAAGUGUAUGAAAGCUCAGAAAGAAACUAAGUGGGUGUGCAUCCAACUCGCUUGCUCAAGAAGACCUGGGGCAAUUUGAGGAAGCCCAUCAUUGGAAUAUACAAGCCAAGUUCUAUAAUGAAAAAUUCCCACUUGUAUAUGAAAGUGUCAACAUAGGAGACUCUCUAUCAUGAGGAUAAUGGUGCUACAUUGAAGCACAAGUGUGGUAAAAGGAUAGUAGCAUUGCCCCUUCUCUCUUUUUCUCUCAUUUUUUUAUUUGGGCCUGUUUCUUUUUUGGCCUAUUUCUUUUAUUUUUUUAUUUUUCGUCCGGAGUCUCGUCCCGACUUGUGGGGGAAUCAUAGUCUCCAUCAUCCUUUCCUCAUUGGGACAAUGCUCUAAUAAUGAAUAUCAUCACACUUUUAUUUACUUUACAACUCAAGAAUUACAACUCGGUACUUAGAACAUAAUAUGAUGCUAUAUGAAUGACUCCGGCGGUGUACUGGGAUGUGUAAUGAAUCAAGA